rnacentral:lncRNA from 1 species
UGUAAUUGAUUGCCUGGACAUAAUACUUUUCCAUGUUCAAGUAUAAAGUUGGACGUUCGUUGUUUUCACAAGCAAGUUCAAAACUUUUGUCGCCACAGCUCUCGGGAUCGGUAUUUAGUCGAAAAGGGUAGCUAAUAUUACGGAUAUUGCCACAAGAAGAAGGAGCGCAGUUCUUUGUAGCACUGCAGCAAUGGUGGGAGGAUAGGAUCAGUAGAAAAGGGAGGGCUGCAUAUGCACCGAAGAGGUGCCUUAAUGCUCUACUGAACAUUGAGAGAGAAACUUUCUUUGGGAAACCAAUUAAUGUGCUUUGUUACACUUUGCUCACGAGAUAUAAAUAUAUUAUGAGGACAAUACUCGUCUACAGACUACGUAUACCACCUUGGAUCAAUACGAAAGGACAAUACUCGUCUACAGACUACGUCUAUAGCCACAAAUUAAAGUCUUCGAGUUAUUGUCUUGGGCCCAUUCUCAUUAAAUUUAUGGGCCCAUUCUCAUUAAUUAUAUUUUUCAAAUUUCUAAAUGAGAUGCAGACGAGCCCAUUCAAUAUUUUUGAAAAUUCCAAAAUGAGAAGACUGCCUUGAAGUUUCCUAAGUCAAUAGGAGAAAAAAAAGCAAGGAAAGAAUGUGGUGCCAUUCAAUAUUUAAAUAUAAAUAUAGUAGGAGUAAAGUAGAAAUGCAAAACUGUAUAAAAACCACGUCGUUUUGCAAAACUCUAAGUGAAAACGACUACGUUUCUUUUUUUAAAAGGGUUACAAUCUGACACGUUGUCUUUAGCCUUUGGAAAUGAAAAUUCACAAUAUUUUUUUUUUUCAUAAAUAUAUUCUUUGUUUUGUUUGAAGGCAGGAGUAUUUGAAAAUUCACAAGAUUAUAGAUUUAACACAAACAAAUCUAUUUUUUCUACAUAAAUUGAAAAUCUGAAAGGCUCAGCCGAUUUUUGGAAAGUAUUAUUUUUUCAUGAAAUUUUCUAAUUUUUAACAAUUGAGUAUUUUAGGAAUUUUUUAUUUUCUUAAAUUUUUUCAUUAUUUUUUAAAAUAUUAAUAAAUUAUGUGGUCUUGAGAAUAUAUUGAUCCUCUCAUUAUUAGACUACAUGUCUAUUAAAUAUUGAAUAAUAUUUUUUUAAUUUUUUUAUUUAAAAAUACAUUAAAAUAAUAUCGUGCAUCUAUAAUUUUAAUACCAGUGUAUGUUAAAAUUAAAAAAAAAUUAACAAAAUAAAUUAUAACAUUUCGUGUGAAAACUUUAGGUUAAGUCCUAUGUACAUAUAACUAUUAAGCAAUUAAAUUAAGAUCCAACUUAAAGUUAAUAUAUUUAAAAUAAAAUAAUUAACUUAAAUUUUAUUUUUAAAAUGUUUAAUGUCAUCAACUAAUUAAUUAAUUAAAUUUUAAUAAAGUAUUAAUUAUAUAUAAAACAAAAAUAAGUACUUACUUAAUUUUAAGUAUUUAAAUUUAUUUUUUAUCUUUUUUUUAAGCUUAAAUAAUAAUUAAUACAUUAUUAAAAUUAAUAAUCACUAAGCUAUAUUAUCUUCAUCAUCUCAUGAUCAACGACCAAACUGAUAUGAAGAGUCAAUACAAUCAUUUGGUGGAUCUGAUAACUUUGCAUGAUUAGCUUUAUCAUCUUCUUCUGGCAUCUGAUGUGGGGUAAGAAAAGGCUUAGGAGGCAUUCGUAGGGAUUCAGCAUCCGAUUCAAUCAUCUCUACAACUUUAUGCAUUGAAGGACGAUCAAUAGGCUUCAACUGUAUGCACCACAAUGCCACAAUAAUCAUCUUCUUCGUAGUUUUCUUUUCAUGUUCCGUGGCAUCUUCUUGUACUUCUAUGUCCUUGCCUGCACUAACUUGGUCAUAAGCCCAUGAAGGAAAGUAAAUUUGGCUUGAAUGAUUUGCCAAUACAUUUAGGUUCUUCCUUCUUCCUACCAUUUCAAUCAAUAACAUCCCAAAACUAUAGACAUCUGCUUUGUAAGAGACACCUCCAAUAUUUUUAUAAAAUAGUUCAGGAGCCAUGUAUCUGAUUGUUCCUCUAGCGGCAGUAAGGGGCACAGUGUUAUUAUUUGUUAGGUACAAUUUGGCUAGUCCAAAAUCUGAGAUUUUCGGAACAAACUUAUCAUUAAGAAGAAUGUUAUGAGGCUUGAUAUCAAAAUGAAAGAUUUGUAUAUCACAACCUUGAUGUAGAUAUUCAAUGCCACGAGCCACUCCAAGAGAAAUCUCAUACAUUUUCUCAUUGCUUAGUGGGACGCUACCUUCCCUAGAAAAAAUGUACUUUUCAAGAGACCCAUUAGGCAUGAACUCAUAUAUAAGAGCACGCUUCGAUCCCUCAACAGUGAAGCCUAUAAGUUGCACGACAUUGACAUGGUGAAUUCUUCCAAUUGUGGCAACUUCGUUGAUAAAAGCUUGUCCAUUGGCUUUUGACUUGCCCAAUAUUUUAACCGCCGCAAAACGACCACUACGAAGCUUUCCCUUAUACACUAAGCCAAAGCCUCCUUCACCCAACUUGUCUUUAAAUCCGUUGGUUAUCUUCUUAAUCUCUGAGUAAGUGUACCUUAUCAGCAUGAGAUUAUUAUCAUGACUUUGCAAGAAUUUUUCAAUGUCUUCGUACAUGGAUAAAUGUCGUCUUCGCCAUUUAUAGAUCAGUAAAGUUAGGAGACAUGGAAGCCCGCAUGGGAGCAGUAGAACAUGAUAUGUCACUGUAUAAAGACAUUUGAAACAUAUAAAAACAUUUUACAAAUGCUUCAUUGAUUUCAGUCACGAGUAUAUGUGUGAUUAAUUUUUCAUUCUAAUUCUCCAAUUUCAAAAUUCGAUAGUCAUGCCUCUCAACACUCUAAUAUGGUACAAACAAUAAAGGAAACUAUAAAAGCUUUAUAUAUAUUAUCAUGCUAGGCACAUAGAAAAGCGGAUAACAUAAAAAAAAAACCUGAUUGUUUUUAUAAAAUAAGAUCAUUAACUAAAAAAAAAAAGUGUUAUCCUAAAGAAAAAGUAAAUACUUUCAAAAUACUCUGUGUUUAAUUACAACAUUUUCCAUCUAAUGCUUUAAAAUUAUUGUUUAUAAUUGAAAAAAAAAGUAGAAAGAAUAGAUGCAUUAAUUUGAUGCAAAAAUAAUAUAAAUUUAACCUAAAGUUAAAACUUGAAAUAGUAGGGAGUCAUUAGAAAUAUUUAAAUUUUAAGGAUUUAAUUUUUACAACUAAAUAAAUUUAAUGAAAAUAAGUAGAAGCUACUGGAUACAACCACAAUGAAAAUAAUAUAUAUUUAUUGUUUCACAAUAAGCUGAUAAAAGAAAAAUAAAAUACUUACCAAUAAGGACAAGUGUCACAGUGGAAAACAAUAUAAGAAAGCUUAGUACAAUUGAAGGGGUGGUCGUCCGAUUAUAACAAUAAUCUGCCAAAUAAAUAAAAAAUAAAAAAAUAAAAAAUGAUGAAUGAUUUAAUUAUCAUUCAUGUAGUUAUUUGACUAUAAGGGAGAAUCAAUUCAUUCAAAUUAAAAGCAUUAUAAAUUAUAAAAUAAUAGAAAGAUAAGAGACAGUCUAUUAGAUAUAAGAAGAUUAGAAGUGAUAUCUUAUUUCUUAUUUCCAUCAAGAAGAUUAAAUUAUUUUAAAAGGGUUGUAUUUUAUCAAAAUCUAAGAGUUUAGCUACCGAAAAAACUUCUAUUGCUAUGGGUAACUUGAAGGCGAACAUUGAUAUGUACGUCAUUGAAACUUGGAUUGAAAAAAAAAAACAUUUUAGGGUCUUUUAUUUAUUUUAUUAGAAAAAUAAAUAUUAGUACUCUUUCUGUAAAAUGAUAUAAUUACACAAAAUAAAUUAACUCACCCACAUUAGUUCGACACAAUAUCCAGUCGAUACCUAUAAUCACCAAGAAAAUAUGAAUCAGCGUGCAAAAUCUUGAUAAUUAAUUAAAAGGUAAAAAAAACAAAAACACUCAUUCGCGAAGAAAAUGCGGAGUAAAUGUAUCGUUUUGUAGAACAUGUAAGACCAUAAUAGUCCUCACCUUCAACAAAAAGGUAUACCAGCUUCCCUCCGGUAAAAUUCGCUACUGCAUUUCAAGAAAAAAGAAAAGGUCAACAGUAUUGAUAUUUACAAACUUAUAAUUUUAACUGAAGUGAAGAACAUUUAUUAAAAUAUAAAAUAAACCCUUAACACAUAAACGGAAACCAAGCAAUAUUGGAGCAUUUCAAUAGAUUAUCAUAAUUGAAAGACUUUACUUUCAGAAGAUUUCUAGUAACUUGAAAGAUCACCUUGUUUCUGAAAAUUGGAAGCUGUGUCAUUCAGACAUGUAGAUUUAAACCCUUAACACAUAAAAUAAAGCAAAUAUUGUAUGCAUAUUCAUAACACAGUACCUGAGGUAAGCUGAUACAUAUGGGGAGAGAGAGAGAGAGAGAGUACGUACUGUAUUGUUCUGAGAAACCGUUAUAUUGUAAACAAUAGUUGUUCUUCAUGGUGGCUUCAUCAAGGUUGCAGCGGUUCUCUGUGAUAUGACAACAGAAAGGGAACCAUGAAAGCUCGAACCCAUAUACCAAAACAUCAUGGACAUCUGUAUACGUCAUAUUUCUCAUAUAUUCUGGCACAGGAUAAAUCAAAUUUAUACGGCACAAGUCAGGUACAUCCUGGACGUUCCCAUCAACCAUGACAUAGGAAUGACCUUCCAUAUCGACACAGCUGGGAGAAGAAAUACUGCCAUUUUUGCAAGAAGAAGCAUCCAUAACAUAACCUGAAAUGUCUGGCCAAUUUAGCAUUUGAUUCUUGCAGCAUAAAAAAGUUAACACAUAAAUGUCUGGCCAAUUUAUAUCAUAAUAAUAAUUGCCGUCCACAUAAGAGCGGAGCAAAGAAAUGUCUUCCAUAUCUUUUGUAAGAGAAUGAUGAGGGAUGGAGAAGCAAUCAUCCUUCUGAACAGAAGCAUCCACAAGUCGAAUUGUGAAGUUACUGUAAUUGAUUGCCUGGACAUAAUACUUUUCCAUGUCCAAGUAUAAAGUUGGACGUAAGUUGUUUUCACAAGCAAGUUCAUGACUUUUUUCGCCACAGCUCUCGGGAUCGGUAUUUAGUCGAAAAGGGUAGCUAAUAUUACGGAUAUUGCCACAAGAAGAAGGAGCGCAGUUCUUUGUAGCACUGCAGCAAUGGUGGGAGGAUAGGAUCAGUAGAAAAGGGAGGGCUGCAUAUGCACCGAAGAGGUGCCUUAAUGCUCUACUGAACAUUGAGAGAGAAACUUUCUUUGGGAAACCAAUUAAUGUGCUUUGUUACACUUUGCUCACGAGAUAUAAAUAUAUUAUGAGGACAAUACUCGUCUACAGACUACGUAUACCACCUUGGAUCAAUACGAAAGGAAAUCAAUCAAUAGCCACAAAUUAAAGUCUUCGAGUUAUUGUCUUGGGCCCAUUCUCAUUAAUUAUACUUUUCAAAUUUCUAAAUGAGAUACAGACGAGCCCAUUCAAUAUUUUUGAAAAUUCCAAAAUGAGAAGACUGCCUUGAAGUUUCCUAAGUCAAUAGGAGAAAAAAAGCAAGGAAAGAAUGUGGUGCCAUUCAAUAUUUAAAUAUAAAUAUAGUAGGAGUAAAGUAGAAAUGCAAGAAUGUAUAAAAACCACGUCGUUUGCAAAACUCUAAGUGAAAACGACUGCGUUUCUUUUUUUAAAGGGGUUACAAUAUAAAACGCUGCCUUUAGCAUUUGAAAAUGAAAAUUCACUAUAUAUAUAUUUUUCAUAAAUAUAUUCUUUGUUUUGUUUGAAGACAGGAGUAUUUGAAAAUUCACAAGAUUAUAGAUUUAACACAAACAAAUCUAUUUUUUCUACAUAAAAUGAAAAUCUGAAAUGCUUAGCCGAUUUUUGGAAAGUAUUAUUUUUUCAUGAAAUUUUUUAAUUUUUAACAAUUGAGUAUUUUAGGAAUUAUUUAUUUCUUAAAUUUUUUCAUUAUUUUUUUAAAUAUUAAUAAAUUAUGUGGUCUUGAGAAUGUAUUGAUCCUCUCAUUACUAGUAUUGUGGUGAAUAAUAUUUUUUUAAUUUAUUUAUUUAAAAAUACAUUAAAAUAAUAUCAUACAUCUAUAAUUUUAAUGUCAGUGUACGCUAAAUUAAAAAAUAAAAUUAACAAAAUAAAUUAUAACAUUUCGUGUGAAAACUUUAGGUUAAGUCCUAUGUACAUAUAACUAUUAAACAAUUAAAUUAACAUCCAACUUCAAGUUAAUAAAUUUAAAAUAAAAUAAUUAACUUAAAGUUUAUUUUUAAAAUAUUUAAUUAAUGUCAUGAAGUAAUCAAGUAAUUGAAUUUUAAUAAAGUAUUAUAUAUAGAACAAAAAUUAUGUACUUCAAUUUAAAUAUUUAAAAUUAUUUUCAACUUUUUAAAAAAAAUAUAUAUAUCAGGAGAAUAAUAUAAAAUUAUGAAGGGAAAGACCUCUUUGUGGCCUCCGCUUUCAAAGUCAAUAGAAAACAACACAACCAAUUAAAACAACACAACCGCGGAUCAACCAAUUAAGUAAUUGAAUUUUAAUAAAGUUUUAUAUAUAAAGCAGAAAUUAUCCCACCGAAAGAAGGGGAGGGCCUCAAGAUGGCCUACACUUCCAUAGUCAAGCUCGUCUCAUUGAGUACUUGGAGAAUUAUGCACACAAAUGUAAGGAGUCUUCGCUUGAAGUUUCCAAGUCUUCUCUUAGAUAAAGGUUACGACAUAAAGUCCUUUCUUUUCUUUAACGCGGAGUUGCUGACGCAACAAACUAUGGCCCCGUCGGUUGUUUUACAGAGGAAAACACUAUCUAAAUUUCUCAAUGAUCGUCGAUGAAAAAUAUGUUUGAGUUAUAAAAAUAAACUUGUUUUUGGUUUUAUAAUUUUUGGCUAAAUAUAUUUUCUAGAAGUUACAAAUAAAAACAGAAUUUGUUAAACGAAUGUCUAGAGGCUGUUUCAUCAUUUGAUCUUUUUUUUUUUAAUUAUAAAGUAUAUUUAUUUAGAGGCAUUUUGGUAUUUUUAAUAAAUAUAAAAUAUUAUUUUUAAAAAUAUUAUUAUUCUUUUAUUUUUUUAAUAAUUUUUUUAAUUUACCAAUUUGUUAUUAUUUUUUAAUUAUAAUUUAUUUUAUUUCAAAAAUAAUUUAUAAUUUGUUUUUAUAUAUAUCUUAAAUGAUGGAACUCUUGGUUGCUGAUAUCGUUCAGUGAAGAAAAAGUGGAGCUGAUGGUCACUUUGGGUUGUUAGUUUCAUUGGCGAUGUGAGUGGUAUGAUUGUCGGUAUGAUUGUCUUGAAAGAUUGAAGAUUUUUUUAAAUGAUAGUAUUUAUUUUUUAAAGUAUUUAUUGUUUAAAAAUAUAUUAAAAUAUUUUUUAAUAAAAAAUAAUUUUAAUAUUAUCAUAUUAAAAUAAUAAAAAAUUUAAAAAAUUAAUUUUUUUAAAACACUAUUUAGAACACAAUUUCAAAACAGAUGAAAGUAUUAGAGGAGUCAGUCUCCAAAAUUCACUUCACGUCAUUUUCGAAGGGAGAUUCCACUCUGAUUUGCAAUCACCUCCACUUCAUUUGUUAGAAUGAGCUGUCAAACACGAUCGAUUAAUCAAAUUGUGCUGCACCGUGGGAGCACCACCGAGGUUUGCUCCCUCUGUGGUCUCAGGUUCUUCUAUGGUUAUUAAUUUCAAGAUCCGUAAAAUUAAUAGAGGUACCCGCAAGCUGAUCCGAACACUCACUUUAAACUAAAAAAAAAAAAAUUAUGCUGCACCAACUUGGUUGGUCAAACAUGUACAACAUAAUCAACAUUGUGCUAGAGGAAGGGGUUAUAAAUUUAUUGUGUUUCUGGCAGUGUUUUUAAAAUUGGCAUGGUGAUUGACAGUUUAAAACCAGGUCACGGGUGAUUUUAUUCAUUUGAGUGUGUGUUAAUAUAAGACAUUUACUCUCUUGUGUUUGUUAAAUUUUAUUUAUUCAAAUAUUUUUUUAUUUAAUCAAACUAUAAUAGAUCAUACAUUAUUUUCUUUGUUUUUCUCCUCUGCUUCUCCCCUGUUCCUUUCUGCUUCCUCUCUCUGUUUUUUUUUUUUUUUCCUGCUCUAUUUUUCUUCCUUUCUUUCUCCUCUUUCUUAUUUUUUUUUCAUGUUCUUUCUGUUUCUCUGAUACAAAAGAAACUUUUAAAAUAUCUUCUUUAUAAUUCAAUUAAAAGCGAGUUUUGUACAAUAAUCUUUAAAAAUAAAAAUAAUAAUUAAAAAGAAGAGAAAAAAAUGAUAGCAGAUAAUAUUGGGUGUACAUUGUUUUCACAAUUAAAUUUACAUUUUUUUUGUAGCUAAUAUUAUGGAUAUUGUCACCGGAGCGCAAUAAUUGUUGCUCUUUCUAGCUCUGCAAGCAUGGUUUAUACGAUGUGUUUUCGAGAAGAAUAAUUAUGCAAAGAUUAUUAAAGGUUUGUUUAUUUUUAUUUUUUAAAAAUAAUUUUUUUAUUUUAAAUUAGUUUUUUUUAUGUUUUGAGAUUAUUUUAAUAUACUAAUAUUAAAAAUAAUUUUUAAAAAAUAAAAAAAAUGGUAUUUUAAUAUAUUUAAAAAAACACAUUAAAAAAUUAACAAAAAUGAAAUAAAUGACAACAAAAAAUUGAAGUCAUUAUUUAAUGGUCACUCACUUGUUGAUAACAUCAAUUAAGUUAAUACACACACAGAAAUUGUAAACCAUAAAGAUGAAGAAAGUAUCACCGAUUUGAAUAGAAAAAUGGAAGAACAUUUCAAUUCAAAUAAUUUGUCUUAAGAAUUAUAAUGUCACUACUUCAAUUGAUAAAGUUGGGUCAAUCCUGCUUGUAAACAAGAAAUUCUCUAGAUUACAAAUACCAUCUUGGAUCCCUACGAAAAGAAAUCAAUGGCCACAAACUAAAGUCUUCUAAUUAUUGCUUGGUCGCUCUCUAGCUCAAUGAUUAAGAUUUAGGAAAUUGCAUGAAAAGUUCCCACCGAUGAAGGGGAAGACCUCUUUUCCAAAGUCAAUAGAAAACAACACAACCGCGGAACAACCAAUUAAGUAAUUGAAUUUUAAUAAAGUUUUAUAUAUAAAGCAGAAAUUAUCUACUUAGUUAAUUUUAAAUACUUUAAAUUAUUUUUAUCUUUUAAAUAAAUAAAAAUCAGCAUAAUAUUGCAAAAUAAUCCUAAAACCCAUCCAAAAGUUCAACUACUAUUGCAAAAGUGAGGUUGCAACAUUUUGUUUGGCUUCCACGUAGUAUUUGCGGUACCAUAUACAAUUGAAGCACUUUUACAAGAAAUUUGCAUAAUCUUUAAUGGAGGUUGCAUUUCUAAAUUAAUUUGGAAUGAUGGUACCGUUCCUUUGGUUUAGAUUUGUAAUAUCAUAUUAUAAACAUGAAAAGCAAGCGUCAACAAAAAAACGCAUUUAUUUUCACAGAUGUAAUUAUUCAAAAAAGAUAUUAAUUUAUCAUAAAAAAUGUAACCUUAUUUGAAAUAUAAAACAUAACCAUCUUGGAUCAAAGACUUGCAGGAGAUAUUGCAUGGUCCAAGUCAAUGGCAAGAAGAGUUUUUCCCACCGAAAGAAGGGGAGGACCUCAAGAUGGCCUACACUUCCAUAGUCAAGCUCGUCUCAGUGAAUACUUGGAGAAUUAUGCACACAAAUGGAAGGAGUCUUCGCUUGAAGUUUCCAAGUUUUCUUUAACGCGGAGUUGCUGACGCAACAAACUAUGGCCCCGUCGGUUGUUUUACGGAGGAAAACACUAUCUAUAUUUAUCAAUGAUCGUCGAUGAAAAAUAUGUUUGAGUUAAAAAAAAUCUUGUUUUCGGUUUUAUAAUUUUUGGCUAAAUAUAUUCUCUAGAAGUUACAAAUAAAAACAGAAUUUGUUAAACGAAUGUCUAGAGGCUGUUUCAUCCUUUUUAUUUUUUUUUAAUUAUAAAGUAUAUUUAUUUAGAGGCAAUUUGGUAUUUUAAUAAAUAUAAAAUAUUAUUUUUUAAAAUAUUAUUAUUCUUUUAUUUUUUUAAUAAUUUUUUUUUAUUUACUAAUUUGUUAUUAUUUUUUAAUUAUAAUUUAUUUUAUUUCAAAAAUAAUUUAUAAUUUUAUAUAUAUAUAUAUAUAUAUAUAUAUAUAUAUAUAUCUUAAAUGAUGGAACUCUUGGUUGCUGAUAUAGUUCAGUGAAGAAAAAGUGGAGCUGAUGGUCACUUUGGGUUGUUAGUUUCAUUGGCGAUGUGAGUGGUAUGUUUGUCGGUAUGAUCAGGGGCGGAGCAAGAACAAAUAAUUAGGGGGCCGUGACAUUUCCUUGCAUAUUUUCGAUGCUCUUCACGUUAUUAAAAUUAUAAAUAUUUAUAAGAAAAAGGCUGGAAAAUAUGGAAAAACAUUUCCUUGCAAGGAUCGGAGCCCCUGCCAGCCUCCCUCUGCCUCCGCCAUUGGGUAUGAUUGUCUUGAAAGAUUGAAGAUUUUUUUAAAUGAUAGUAUUUGUUUUGUAAAGUAUUUAUUGUUUAAAAAUAUAUUAAAAUAUUUUUUUAAUAAAAAAUAAUUUUAAUAUUAUCAUAUUAAAAUAAUAAAAAAUUUUAAAAAUUAAUUAUUUUUAAAACACUAUUUAGAAUACAAUUUCAAAACAGAUGAAAGCAUUAGAGGAGUCAGUCUCCAAAAUUCACUUCACGUGAUUUUCGAAGGGAGAUUCCACUCUGAUUUGCAAAGCCUAAAGGAUCGCAAUCACCUCCACUUCAUUUGUGAAAAUGAGCUGUCAAACAUGCACCAACUGUAUUAAUCAAAUUGUGCUGCACCGACUUGGUUUUUGAUACGGUUUUGUUGGGUCAAUUUAGGAUCAGCUGGGUUUUUAACUAUUUUUAUUUUUUAAUAAGCUAGGUUUGGUUCUGGUUUCGGGUCAGCUAGGUCCUGGAUUAAUCAUCUAAACCGGAUUUUAAAACUAUAAUUUGUGGUUGUGUGGUUGUGAAAUUGUAUUUUUCAAAUUUUAAAGUUUUUAUAUUUUAAAUUAUUUAUUUUUUUGUUUUUCAAAUAUUUUUUAUAUGUAGAUAUUAAAUAUAAAUUUUUAAAAAUAUAUAUAUUAUUUUAAUAUAUUUUUAAAUAAAAAUAUUUUAAAAAUUCUUAUGUUGUUCGAGACCAUCAGAGAAGAAAAUGUAUAUACAACAUUUUUUCACUCUAGUACUACAUUUUCCACAUAGACAGAUCUACCUUCCAUAUUAAUACUUACUCCUCGCAUUUUUUAUUGUUUCUCCUUUGUUCAUCUCCAUAAAAAUCAAAGCAUGAAACUUGACCCAUAUGUUUUUCGUCUUUCAUUAUUUUUUUAUAUUGGAUAUAUAUGUAACAGGCCGAAAAAGAGAUUGCAGAAGACCACGUAAAAGACCUCUUGGGGUAAUACACUUUGCUUCAUCUCCUAAUAUUCCAGAUUGUUUUAUUGGAUAUAAAUUACCUUUCAGUCAUAAUCAAGAAAAAUAAUCAAAUCGAAGUUCUCUAGAAUACAGAGCAAGAAAAUCAAAGUAUUAUCUCAGAAGCUGGCAAAACUUUUGUACACCAACUUUCAUCCAUACAGGUCCCUUACAAACUACGUACAGGGAGCUCUUCCAAAACCAGAGUGGACUCAAGCUAUAAUUAUAGAAAUGAAGGCAUUGCAGAAAAACCAAGCAUGGAGUCUUGUUCCCCUACCCAACUCAGAUGAAAGAAAACUAUCAGGCAAAUGGGAUCACUGAAAGAUACAAACCUAGACAUGUAGAAACAAAUAUGCUAAAACAUAGCGAAGUUGGAAAUAAAAUUUAGAUUCUAAUAUCUCUAACAACAAAUUUGGGUUGGUCAUUACGUUAGUUUGAUUAAAAAAUGUUUUUCUUCAAAAAGAUCUUAAAGGGAGGAGUUUACAUGAAGAUACACUAUAGGCUCACAAACUGAAGUAGCAUGCAAGUUGAAGAAGGAUCUAUAUAGAGAAAGAAACAUAGAUCAUACAUUAUUUCUUAGAUAUAGAAAAAGAAAGGUAACAACUUCGAUAAAAUAAGUUGGUGAUACAAUAAUUACAAACAAUGAUGCAGAAGAAAUUCAAAUACUUGGAGAAAAUAUAUGACAGCUAAGUUUGAAAUAAAGAACCUUGAAGGGAUAAAAUACUUCCUAGGCAAUGAGAUGGCUAGAUUAGCCAGAGGUAUUCUCUUAUCUCAAAGAAAGUAUAUGUUCAAGAAGAUUCUUAGACGCUUGAAAUCAAUUUCUGGUAAGGGUAUCAUGCAUGUUCUCAGAAUAAUAUAGAAGCAUCAUCGAAUAGGAAUUUUCUUAAAGAUUAUCCUCAAAUUCAUUUAUACGUAAAUUCGUUAAAAACUAUUAUUUGUUUCAAAAUCCAAUAUUUUUUUUGUCUUUUAAGGACAGUGAUAAAUCACUAUAUAUAAUGGUGAGUGGUGGCAUGGACCUUAUUCAAUUAAUGUUAGAAUUUUUAGACAAAUGUAGCAUAAGCACGGAAUCCUUCAGCAACAAUGUAGAUUUGGUCAUGAAAGGAUAAGCUUAAAUAGUUGAUACACUAUCAAAAUUAAUAACCAUUAAACUAUAUUAUCUUCAUCUUCUCAUCAUCAACGACCAAACUGAUAUAAAAAGUCAAUACAAUCAUUUGGUAGAUUUUAUAACUUUGCAUGAUUAGCUUUAUCAUCUUCUUCUGGCAUGUAAUAAGGUGUGAGAAAAGGCUUCGGAGUCAUUCGUAGGGAUUCAACAUCCGAUUCAAGCAUCUCUACAACUUUAUGCAUUGAGGGACGAUCAAUAGGCUUCAACUGUAUACACCACAAUGCCACAAUAAUAAUCUUUUUUGUUGUUUUCUUUUCAUGUUCCAUGGCAUCAGGGGCGGAGCAAGGAAAAAAAUUUAGGGAGGGCCAAUUUAUAAUUUAAGGGCGGCAAGAAGUUGUGUUAAUUAAAUUUAUAAAUAUAUAUAAAGGGAGGGGCAUUUGCUUGCAGGGGCCGGGGCCCCUGCCAGCCCCCCCCCUCCCUCCGCCACUACAUGGCAUCUUCUUGUACUUUUAUGUUCUUUCCUUCACUAACUUGGUCAUAAACCCAUGAUGGAAAGUAAAUUUGGCUUGAAUGAUUUGCGAAUGCAUUCAAGUUCUUUCUUCUUCCAACCAUUUCCAUCAAUAACAUCCCGUAACUAUAGACAUCGGCUUUGUAAGAGACACCUCCAAUAUUCUUAUAACAUAGUUCGGGAGCCAUAUAUUCCAUUGUCCCUCUGGCAGCUGUGAGGGGCACAAUGUUAUUAUUUGUUGGGUACAAUUUGGCUAGUCCAAAAUCUGAAACUUUUGGAACAAACUUAUCAUUAAGAAGAAUGUUGUGAGGCUUGAUAUCAAAAUGUUAAAUUUGCAUUUCACAACCUUGAUGUAGAUAUUCAAUGCCACGAGCCAUCCCAAGAGCAAUCUCAUACAUUUCUCAUUGCUUAGUGGGAACAUUACCUUGCCUAGAAAAAAUGUACUUUUCAAGAGACCCAUUAGGCAUGAACUCGUAUAUAAAAGCACGCUUCGAUCCCUCAACAGUGUAGCCUAUAAGUUGCACGAUAUUGACAUGGUGAAUUCUUCCAAUUGUGGCAACUUCGUUGAUAAAAUCUUGUCCAUUAGCUUUUGACUUGCCCAAAUUUAACUGCUGCAAAACGACCACUACGAAGCUUUCCCUUAUACACUGAGCCAAAUCCCCCUUCCACCCAACUUAUCUUUAAAUCCAUUGGUUAUUUUUUUAAUAUCUAAGUGUACCUUAUCGGCAUGAGAUCAUUAUCAUGACUUUGCAAGAAUUUUUCAAUGUCUUCGUACAUGGAUAAAUGUCGUUUCACCAUUUAUAAAUCAGUAAAGUUAGGAGACAUGGAAGCCCACAUGGAAACAGUAGCAUAUGAUAUAUCACUGUAUAGAGACAUUUGAAACAUGUCAAAACAUUUUACAAAUGCUUUAUUGAUUAUAGUCAUGAGUAUAUAUGUGUGAUUAAUUUUUCAUUCUAAUUCUCUAAUUUUAAAAUCUGAUCCUCGUGCCUCUCAACACUUUAAUAUAUACCUCAUGAAAUUGAAAACAAAACAGUAUCCAUGCAUGUCUAUGAUAAAUAAAGGGAACUAUAAAUAAAUCAGAUUGUUUUUAUAAAAUAAGAUCAUUAACUGAAAAAUAAAAUAGAAAAGCAUUUAUCCUAAGAAAAAAAGUAAAUACUUUCAAAAUAUUAUGUGUUUGAUUAGAACAUUUUCCUUCUAUUGCUUUAAAAUCAUUGUUUAUAAUUGAAAACAAAAGUAGAAAGAAUAUUAGAUACAUUAAUUUGAUGCAAAAAUAAUGUAAAUUUAACCUAAGGUUAAAACUUGAAAUCAGAAAUAUAUAUUUAAAUUUCGAGGACUUAUUUUCUACAACUAAAUAAAUUGAAUGAAAAUAAAUAGAAGCUAAUGGAUACAACCACAAUCAAAAUAAGUCAUGAACAAUAAUUAUUUCUUAAGCUGUAAUUGUUGGGUACUGAUAUAUAUAUAUAUAUAUAUAUAUAUAUAUAUAUAUAUAUUUACUGUUUCACAAUAAGCUGAUAAAAGCAGAGUCAAAUACUUACCGAUAAGGGGAAGUAUCACAGUGGGCCGGAAAGAGUAUGAGAAAGCUUCGUAAAACUGAAGGGGUGGUCAUCCGGUAAUAACAAUAAGAAGCUGCCAAAUAAAAACACAACCAAAAAAUAAAUAAAUAAAAAAUGAUGAAUGAUUUAUCAUUCAUGUAGUUAUUUGACUAUAAGGGAGAAAAUGAUUGAGAAUCAAUUCAUUCAAAUUAAAAGCAUUAAAUAAUAGAAAGAUGAGAGAAAAUCUAACUAAAUUGGAACGACUGAAAAUUAUAACUAAGAUAUAUAAUAGAAAUUAAAACAAUAUGCCGCUUGGUUCUUCUUCCUCCCCGCCUACACUAUGACUGCCUUUCUUACGGGCUUGUUGUCACUAGCAAUUUUUAUGUGUUCUUCUUCAAUUUUUAUGCCUUUCUUAUGGGUUUGCGGGAGAAUUUAAAGACUUGGUCAACAGCCUCUCAACCAAGGUUAAAGCCACUAACUUGUAUAUUCAUUUUCUCACUCAUGAAUACCUUCACAAGAGUUCUCUUCAGCCUAUUGGUGGUUCCCACGCAACAGCACCACUACUACCUGCUACCUCCAACACCACUUCGGCUUUUUUUGUUCAACGUCAGUCUCAUGGUCAAUCUGCAGGUUCCUAUUCCAGCUGUUCUCACCGUGGUUCUAGUGGCACAUUUCGUGGUGGUUGGAGGAACAACACCCAUAACAGUUGCAACAAUCAUUUCCGUGGGAAUGGUGAUGCUUUCCGAGUCAAUAAUAAUUUUGGUUUCGAUCAAAUAGGCAACAUGGCAGUCGAUUUUCUUCCUCAAAUAAAUGGUCCAAUAAUCGACCCAACAAAUGUCAGUUGUGUUAUGGUUUGGGCCACUUUGCUCCACAGUGUCUAUGAUUGCAACAUCACACCAGGCAAACAAAUGCAAACAUAGCAUUCAAUACUACUCAUAGGGCUACUUCAGCUACAUCUUGAUACCAGUGCUAACACCUAACCUUUUUAUUCAGAAAUGUAUAACUUAACUGAUUAGAUUCUGAAUUUAUUUUUUAAAGAUCAUCAGUUUGAAUUUCACAAACCUCGGGGCCACUAAAGGCUUACAUGAUCGUUAACUUCAGGACCCAUGAGAUUAGUUGAAGUACGCGCAAAUUAACCAAGUCACUCACAAUAAUCUAAAAAAAAUGUGUUGAAUUCAAAACUGUAUCUAAGUACUAAUCAGCUAUAUGUUGGAGAUGAUAAGAGACUUUUAUAUCGAAUGUUGCUCACUAUAUUAUCCACACACAUAAAUAUAAUUUUAUCAUUUCAAAUGUCUUACAUAUUCCUAUUAUUUGUUCAAAAAUUAUAUCUUGAAAAUAAUGUAUGUUUUAAAUUUCACUUGUUUAUGUUUUAUAUUAAGGAUCUUCAAAUUAAGUGUUUCUUUAUAAUUAGAGUAGGAAUGAUUUUUAUGUUAUCUCCAAGUCUUCCAUAAUGUUUUUACUACUUUAAGCUUUCUUGUUUACAAGUGUGUCUACCUCUACUGAUAUUUGGCAUUAUCGUCUUAAGCAUUCUAGCUCAUGAAUUUUGAGUUCAUUAAUAUCGAAUAAAAAUGUGUUUUGCACCUAAAAAUAUUUUUUAUUUUAAUUGUCAAAUAUAUGUAAAUCAUCUUGUUUGUUUUAGAAAUUACAAGUUAUAAAACCUCUGCUCCGUUUGAAUUAAUAUUUAAUAAUAUCUAGCAAUUACUUGUGUUUUUUUUUAUGCUAAUACUAAAUACAAUUGGAUAUUUCCUUUGGUUACAUUGUUAAUAUUGUACAUAACCCUAUUUAUAUAAAUAGAAACGAUUACUAGUACAAUUGUUAAGUUUUCAAAAUACUUCUUAUAUCUUAACUCUACAGUUGAAGAGAUGAUCCAAUGACAAGCAGCUACGGUUCAAGAUUUGUUGAUAGCAGCACAUGCUCUUUGCAGGAAAAAAAAUUACAACAUUGUGUACAGAAAUAUAAAGUACAAUUACUAUUUCAAUUCAUACAAGGAUCCCAAGUGCACAUAUUAUACAUACAAAGGAACAAGAGAACAAGGGCAUAGCAACUCAUUUUGAUCUUGAUCCCUAAUUAUUUGUCCCCUUAAUUAUCAUUGUGUAACAUGAAGCUCCAAAACUGUUAAUUUCAUCGACGAAAAUCCUUGGUCUUGUUCCAAGUUUCCUCUUCUUGAAAAAGUCACUGAAUGCCUCCCCUGUUACUUCCUGCACUUAAUUAAUGAUCUCAUUAAACAUUGACUCAGAACAAUGAGGUAAAACACAGUGGUCUUAGGCCAGUAUAUAUUGCUGCUUCAGAGAUUUAGGGCCAGAGAUCCAUACCAUGGAAGCUUAAAAGUGUCUUUCCACCAUUCUUGUUUUGAACAGUUGCAACAAACUUUAUCCAGUCUUGUGAUGAUCUCAGAAAAGGUUGGUCUGACAACAGGUUCUGAAUGCCAACAUUCAUCAAUCAACCUACAUGAAGAUCAAGAUGGUUCCCAAAAAAAUUAAGCUGCACUCCCUCAAGCAUCUAAGCUCAAACGAAAAACAAACAGAAGAAAAGUCCCACUUAGCACUUAAAUCCUCAAGUAAAGAACCAUGCACUGUGCAAAGAAUAGCAGUAAUACAUAUGAAGGAAACAGGAAAGUACAACCAGUUUGCCAAAUUAGAUUGCGAAGUACCUCAUACAAAAUGACUCCAAAAGAGUAUGCAUCAACGCUUCUAUCAAAUAUUUCAUCGUUAUAAAUCUCAGGCGCCAUGUAUACAUCUGGAAAGCAAUACCAUCACUUAAAUUAAAGUCAAGAACACAUUGCAGUAAUCCCUUUAAAGUUAUUCACUCAGCUGUAUAUGAUGAGAUUAAAUGAAGAGUUCUGCUCUUAAAAGGAAGCAGGAUAACAAAGUUAAAGUGUAAAAAAGACUUGCUGAUGUUUGCUACAGAACCGAUUCAUUCCUUGAAAAGAUGCAGGGUGUCGAGCCUUAUAUUUAAGGUGGAUUUUCACAAAGCUUUCGAUAUUGUCCGGUGGGAUUAUUUAGAGCAAGUUAUGAUUAGGUAUAUGGGUUUUGGUGAAAAAUGGAUUAAUUUGAUCAAAACUUGAAUGUACAUUGCAAAAUUAUUAGUGUUGAUUAAUGGAUCUCCUUCUAAGGAAUUCUUGAUGAGCCAUGGGAUUCGCCAAGGCGACCCCCUCUCUCUUUUUUUUUUUCUAAUUGCAGCUGAGGAGUUAUUUGUUUUGUUUUAGAGAGCAGCUACAACUAAUCUUUUCAAAAGUAUUUCUUUUGAAGACAACUUUUGCCUCAGUCAUCUGUAAUAUACAGAUGACACUCUGAUUUUCAUGUGGUCAAAACACUUAAAAGUGUUCUGUUGUGGUUCGCUAUUUGUUCAGAUUUGCACAUUAAUUUCCACAAAAACUCUUUAAUUGGCAUAAAUGUUGAGGAAGAUACUUGUGUUAGUAUGAUAUCUUCAGUAUUUUGCAGAUUUGUUCCUUGCCUUGCUCUUAUCUAGGCAUGCCUUUGAGAUACAAUCCUAAAAGUUUGUCUACAUGGAAACCUGUUGUUGUAACCCAUUUUUGGGUCCCCAUGAAAAAUAAAAUAAAUAGCCAAAAGAGUUUAGAAAAAAUAACAGAAGGCAGAAGCGCUCAGGAAACAGUCAGAAAAUUGGUCAAGAAAUUCAAAAAUACAAGGAUUAAAUUUUUGACAGUAUAUUCUUGAAGGAUGAAAGCCCUAUUGAGAAGGAAAAUUUGAAUUUUGAGGAGAAAAGCCCAAAUUUGGAUGUUUAUGGACUUAAUUGGAUUUUUAUGGACUUAAUUGGAUUUUUAGGGACUUAAUUGGAUUUUUAUUUGAAUUUAUGAAGAAUUUGAUUGCAAGAAAAAUUAAUUUUUAAGUCAAUUUGGGCUUUAAUUUGAAGAAAUUUAAGUUCUGGGGCCAAAAUAUAUUUUUUAGGAAUUUAUUGGGUCAAAUCAGGGGCUUAAUUGCAUAAAUAUUGAAGUUUAAGGGCCAAUUAGGGAUUUAAUUAAGAAAAUCCGAAACCAGGGACCAAAUUGGAAGAGGCGCGUAAAUGGAGGGGCUGCAAUUUUUCGGUUCAGGGGCUUAAUUGAAGAAAUUGAAAGUUUAUUGAUCAAUUAGGGGCUCAAUUGCAUAAAUCAGAGGCCAAGGACCAAAGUGAAAAAGGCGGCCAACAAGAGGGGCGGGGACCGAAUUUGGGGGAUUGAUUUGAAGUUUAGCCAUUUAAAUGAAACGGCGCGUUUUACCCAAAACGAUGCCGUUUCAUAUAUAAAAAAAAAAAAAAAAAAAAAAAAGAGGAAGAUCAGAACGGUGUCGUUUUGAACGACACUGUUCAUCUUCCUCCUUCCCCCCGUUUAACAGAACAGAAGAAGAGAAAAAUUCGAAAAUCUUCCCGCGCCUCUCUCUCUCCUCGCCCCCACCACCUUUAGAUAUUGGCCGACCAGCCGUUACACCCCAUGGUCCCCCACGGUUCUGCCCCUAUAAAUAGGGAAGAAAACCGAAAAGAAAAAGAGGGAAGAGACCCCGAGAGGAAUAGAGAGAGAGAGACCCGAAGGGAGGAGAGAGAGAGAAAACCGCCUGACCUGCCGUCCGUAAGCCAAGCUGCCACCGUCUCCGCAGCGGCACCGCCAGCAAGCCGUCGUCUCCGUCGUGCCAGGUACGCUUCCCUCCCCCCUGCACAUUUUUUUUUCUUUUUGUUUCUUAAAUUUCGUCUCCUGCAUGCAGAGGCGUUCUGCAUGCAGGGGACGGGGGGGGAAAUAAUCCCCCCCCUGCGUUUUUUAUUUCCUCUGGGCCAGACGUUGUCUGGCCCAGAACUAUGUGGACCGGGCCAGAGAGAUCAGGCCCAGUCCGGCGGUCUGGGCCGGGUCCGGCCCAGACCGAGGUUAAUUAUUUUUUGGGCCGAGUUCGGCCCAGUACCUUUUGGGCCGAGGUCGGCCCAGUACCUGUUGGGCCGAGGUCGGCCCAGUACCUGUUGGGCCGAGGUCGGCCCAGUACCUGUUGGGCCGAGAUCGGCCCAACGACUGUUGGGCUGGGUCCGGCCCAGCCCUUUUAAUAUAUAAAUAUAUUAUAAUUAAAUUAAAUUAUUAUUAUUAUUAUAUAUGUGUAUAUAUGUUAUAUAUAUAAAAAAUGUAUUUAUAUAUAUAAAAAAAAUAUUUCGAAAAAAAAAAUCUAAAAAAAAUAUUGUUGAUUUUUCUGCAUAUUUUUGUCAAAAAUGUUUUAAUUCUGGUUUGUAUUUUUAUACUGUAAAGAUACAAAACCAGUAUUAAAAUACCCGGUUUUCGUCAAAACAUCAAAGAUUUUCAGAAUAAAAAAUGUUUUUGCUUUCAAAAAAAUUCUAAAAAGUCCCUAAAAAUAUUGUUGAUUUUUCUGCAUAUUUUUAUCAAAAUGGAUUAAUAUUGGGUUGUAUUUUUAUACCGUAAGGAUACAAGCUGAGUAUUAAAAUACCUGAUUUUCGCCAAAGCAUAAAAAAAAUAAUAUUUUCCAAAAAUUGUUUUUGUUUUAAAAUACGGCCUAGUCUCUCCAAUAUAUAUACAUAAAUAUUAUAACAUCAUAUUUUCACACAACAAAGAAAAUUUUCAAAACAAUAUAUGUAUUAACAUGCAUUUUGGCUUUAAUAACCAGUUUAUUCAAGCCAUGAGAACUAGGUCAAUAUUUCAAAAAUUCUAAAAAAUCUUUUUGUUUUAUUUUAGUAUUUGGGAUUACGAAUUUAUACGUAAAACGUAUUCCUAAGUAUUAUUAAUAAAAUUUUGGUAUGGACGUUAGAACGGUUAGGAUUUUAACCCGAUAAGAUAAAAGACCUUCUUACUGAGGAGGAUUUUUCUUGAACCAUAGACAGAUCAACGACUAGGAAAACACAACAACACUUUAGUUUUUUAUCAGACAAUAAAACAAUGCAGCUUACCUUAGGUAGGGCGUAUUUGGGGUGCUAAUACCUUCCCUUUACGCAACCAGUCUCCGUACCCGAUCUCUGAGACCAGUUAGGUUCCUAGUGACCAAAAUACUAGGUGGCGACUCCAAAGAACCAAAAAUAAAAAAAAAAUCGCCAGUCGAACCCGCAAUUGAUGAAUGAGAAUUUUUUUUUGGGGUACGACACCUGUUAUUGAGAAUUUCAAAAGAAAGUUGAGCAUGUGAAGAGGUCGUAUGCUUAGUAUGUCAAAAUGUAUUUGCCUAAUAAAAAAUGUCCUGAGAUCUAUUAUAUGUCUUUUUUGUCUUAUGGCAAGGUGCGGAUCUGCAAAUCACUAGAAAGAAUACAUCACAUGAUUUUCGAAGCUUCAAGUUGAAUCAUCAUCUUCAUGCAUUUUGAUCUAGCAAAAAUCCUUUGUUUUUCUCGCAUCAAGGUUUUUUUCAGAAAUCCAUAAGCUAGUUGUUUUGUUUUGAAAGAAAUGUUGGUGGGAGAAACCACUGGUGGUGGCUUUGAAACACUCAGAGGGGAUAAAACACAACGUUUUAUUACAAAAUCCGAAGCUUACAAUAACUUAACAAUAAAAGCUUAACAAUUACACGCCCUCUCUCUCUCUUUCUCUUUCUAGUGUUCCUCUCAAUUCUCUCCACACAUAUAACAUAAGCUGGGCACUCUAUUUAUACACGAAAUCAAAACAAGAAAAUUCAACCUUCAAGUGUGAAGGCAGCUGGUGGCUGGCGGCUGGUGGCUGGUCGGUUGGUGGCUGGUCGGUGGCAGCUGGUGGUUGCCUUCCUUGACCAUCUAGAUGUUGAGUUUAAUAUUCAACAAAUCUCCCCCUUAAACUCAAUCGAGGGAUGUCAUGCCAAGCAUGAACACUUCUCCUUUCAAUGCCUUCUCUCUGCUUGUACCCUUUAUCCACUAAGUUGGCUUUCGUCUUGUAGACCCAUUUGACACCUAUUGCUUUCUUCUUUUCUGGUGGAUAAGUCAGCUUCCAGGUAUCAUUCUUCUCAAUGGCAUGUAUUUCUUCAUCCAUUGCUUUUAUCCAUUUCUUUUCUGUGACAGCUUUUGUUGUUACCCAUUUUUUGACCCACCUUUUUAAUAAAUUUUUCAAAAAAUCCAAAAAUAGUGAAAAACAACAAAAAUCCAAAAAAAAUAUGUUUUUAAUAUAUUUGCAAUGUUUUUAGCAUUUUCAACAUCUUUUAAAAAGAAUUUUAAUUUUCAAUUGUUUUUUCGAACGUGUUCGACUUUUCACGCGUCAUUUUAAAAUCGUAAUUUUUCUCAUAGAAUUGACGUUGAUUUCGCUCGUUUUUAAAAAUACAAGAAAAAAACAAGAAAAAUCAAAUUUACAAAAAAGAAAGUUGAGGGACCAAUUUGGAGGUUUGAACAAACUUUUACCUAUAAAUAUAGGUUGAAAACUAAAAAAAAAGGGGGGGGUCAUUUUUGGAAUUUUAGGGGAGGCAAACAAAGGGGAAAAACCCUAAAAAAAACAAAACUUCUUCCUCUCCCUCAGGAAAAAAAAAGAGUCGCUAGCCCCCCACCUUCAUUUUUUCUCCAACCGGCGGCCAGGCCUUUCCCCAAGGCUCAGAUUUUUCCCUUCUUCUCAGCCCUCUCACAGCCGACCCCAACAGCCCCGUCGCCGGCCUUCACCGGUUCUCUCCAUCGUCUCCCCUACCUCUCCUGGCCGCCCACAGCAGCUCCCCUUCACCGGACUCCUCGUUCCCUCACUAGACCGACCCAUCUUCUUCCCUGCUCACCGGCCACCCGGACAAGCCACGGUCGCCACAUCUUCCUCUCGGCUGCGGUCUCCCUUUUCUUCUUCUCCAUCAGCGACCAAACCAGGUCCUCCCUCCAUCCGAAGCUUCCCCCUCAGCAGCCUCUUCUUCGGCGGUUCCUUCAACAGCAACGACGAAGCAGCACCGACAGCAGCAACAUCCACAGACGCCGUCACCUUCCUCAGCCUCCAGUACUCCUUCCAAGACAGCCGCCAGAUCAGAAGAAGACCGAGAACAGUACUGCCACCGGUUGAAGAAGGAACGAACAGACGCCGACGCCGUGAAGAAGAAAGAUAACAGAAUAAUAGAUCUAAAAAACGAAAAAAUCAGAAUAGAUCUGGACAAAAAAAAAUGGAGUAAAAUCAACUGUUGUGUGUUCUCUUUUCUUGACUACAGGACGUCACCGGCGAGGAAUAGAAGAAGCUGAGCAAGACCGGCUUGUUUUCUGGUAUUUUUGUAGCGGCGCGUGGGUUCACGCGCCGCCUGCUGUCCCGGCGGCUUCACAGCACUGUUCCGGCAUGAAUAAUGGCUUCCCUGCAAUUUCUGGAGUUUAGGGACUAUUUUGUAAUGUUUAAAUUAUGUAAUGUAAUUUUUGUUUAGUUUAAUUUUUUAUAAUUUUUGUAAUGUGAUGUACAAAAAAAAAAUGUAAAAGAAAAGAAAAGAAGAGAAAGAGAAAGUGAUAAUAAAAAAAAAAAAAAAAUGUUUGUGUGUGCUUGUAAUUUUUUAUGUAUGAUAUUGAAUAAAAAAAAAAGAAUUUAAUUUAUAUGCACAAAUUCUCAAGGACAGAUAAAAAUCAUGUUGAAUUUUCCAUAAAAAUGUAGAACAUGUAUCUACAUAUAGUUUGGAAAAGUAAUAACUGAUUUAUCAAAGCCUUAGAAUUGGGCUAAAAUUUUAUUUUUUAAAUCACAUCAAGUCCACGAAGCUUGAAAGUGAAUGUGGUGUGUAUUUUUGUUUAUAAAUGUUUUUUUAUGAUAAAAUUGCAAGAAUAAAGAAGAAUUUAAUAUUCUGAUUCAAUUACGGAUAAAGAAUCAUGAACUUACAUGUAAGUUGUAUUUUCUAAAAUUCGAUGAAAGAACAGAAUUUUUAAAACUUCUUUAACACAUCAAGUCUACAAAGCAGCUUACCUUAGGUAGGGUGCGUUAGGGGUGCUAAUACCUUCCCUAACCACAACCAGUCCCUUACCCGCGAUCUCUGACAAGACCAGUACAUCAGGUUUCCUAGUAGCCCUCUAUGAAUUACUAGGUGGCGACUCCAAAGAACCAAAUCAGCAAAACAGAAUGAAAAAUCGCCAGCCGAUGCCGCGCGCCAGGAUUUUUUUGGGGUGCGAUAGCUUUAUUGAAGCUUAAUGGGUCACUAUCUGUAUGGAAACAAAACAGAGUUGUAUCUUCCAUUACCUGAGUGGUAUCGUACAACUCUUCAAGAUUUCGCAUCUUUCUUGGUCCUUCUGAUGAGGAUGCUGAUGGUGGUGUUGAUGAUGAUGCUCCUAGUGUGUUCCUCCUGUUGAAUACAGGGAAUCUGUGUACCGGACUUUGUGGUUCAGCUGCUGGUAUAAACACCGGACUUUGUGGUUCAGCUGCUGGCACAAUCAGUUCUUCUACAGAUACAAUCGGUUCUUCGACAAGUACUGUUGGUACUUCUUCACCUUCAAGGAUCAAAUCAAGAUUGAUCCAUUUGAUUGCUUCUUGAUCACCAUUCCAUGCCCAAGAUUUAUCUUCUUCAAAGAUAACAUCUCUACUCGUAAUCACCUUCUUCGUGAUGGGAUUAUACAGCCUGUAUCCCAUCCUUCUUUCACCAUAUCCGACAAAGAUGCAUUUCUCGCUCUUAUCAUCGAGCUUUCUCCUUCUUGCAUCUGGGAUCUUUGCAUAUGCCACACAACCAAAGACUCGUAGAUGAGUAACACUUGGUUUGUGACCACUCCAUGCUUCUUCUGGAGUGACUCCUUGCAAACUUCUGGUUGGGCAGCGAUUCAGUAGAUACACUGCACAUGAUACAGCUUCAGCCCAGUAUUGCUUGGGCAGCUUCUUUGCUUUGAGCAAACUUCUGGCCAUGUCAAGAAUCGUUCGAUUCUUCCUCUCGGCUACACCAUUUAGCUGUGGUGUAUAAGCUGGCGUUGUCUGAUGUCUGAUGCCUUGUUGUGUACAAUAGGCUUCAAAGUCAUUGCUGUAUAUUCUCCACCUUGAUCAGAUCUUAGUUCUGAUCGUAACCAGUUUGCUUCUCCACAAUUGCUUUAAAAUCUUUAAAACAAUUGAAUACUUCUGACUUCCUCUUCAGAAAGUAUAUCCACGUCUUUCUACUAAAAUCAUCAGUAAAAGUGAGGAAGUACCUAUUUUGUCCAGUCGACAUAGGCGUAAUUGGACCACACACAUCUGUGUGAACUAACUCUAGUGGCCUCUUUGCUCUCCAUUUGACUUCUUUGGCAAAACUGGAUCUGUGAUGUUUGCUGAGGACACAACUUUCACAGACUUCAUCUGGAUGAUCAAUGUGAGGCAAACCUUUGACCAUCUUCUUGCUUGCUAGCAUCUUCAAACUCGUGAAAUUCAGAUGUCCAAGCCUCAGGUGCCAAAGCCAUUCUUCACUGUUGGUGAUGGCACUCAAACACCUUGUUGCAUCAUACUGGAUGUUCAAAGGAAACAUCCUAUUCUUGGACAUUUUCACGUAGGCCAUUAAUCUCCUAUUGUUGUCUCUAAUUGUCAGAUGACAAUUCUCCGAGUAAAAAGUAUAGCCUCUCUCCAAAAGUUGACCUAAGCUGAUCAGGUUCUGCUUUAUGGCUGGGACAUAAUAGACAUUGGCGAUGUAGCUGGAAUCGCCAUUCUUCAACUUGACUGGGAUGCUGCCUUUACCUUUGAAUGGAACCUUUGUGGUAUCUCCAAAAGUAACUAGACCUUGCUUGGUCUCAUCUAGAUCACCAAAUAACUCUCGGUAGCCGCACAUGUGAUUGCUGGCUCCAGUAUAUAGAUACCAUAUAUUUUCUUGUUUCUCGCCAUGUUCUUGUUGGACAAGAAAUGCAGAUGCUUCUCUGUCAUCCUUCUCUGCAUAGUUGGCUUGCUCACGUAUCUCCAACGGAGCUUUACUUCUGCAUUCAGUGCUAUAGUGCCCAAAUUGAUUGCAACUAUAACAUUUGAUAUUUCUCUUGUCACGGUUAUUGUAACCGCCUCCUCUUCCUCUAGGAGUGAAUGCCUGUUGGCCUCGGCCUCCUCUGGUGGUGUUUCUACCACCUCUUCCUCUGAAGCUUGUAUUCCAAGAACCUCUUUCUUGGAAUCUCUAAAAUCCUCCUCUGGAUUGUUGACUUCCUGCUUGAGUGGUGUAUCCACUUGAUGAAGUCUCCCCUUGCUCAUAUCUGUCCUUGAGGGACAGCUUUGCUUGUAAGGCAUGCUCAAUGGCCUUAUCUUCAUUUCGCAUUACAAUCUUCUGCUCAUGAGCUUGCAAAGAACUCAUAAGCUCAUCCACUGUCAACUUGUCCACUUCCUUGGACUCUUCAAUUGCGACAACAACAAAAUCAAAUUUUGGAUCUAUGGAUCUCAAAAUUUUUCAAUAAUUCGAGAAUCGAUGAUGGCUUCUCCAUUUCUCCUCAUCUGGUUGACUAUCACCAUAAUCCUUGUGUGAUAAUCAGAAAUAGACUGAGGACUUCAUUCGCAAUAAUUCGAAUUCUCCUCUCAAAGAUUGAAGACGAAUCUUCUUGAUUCUGUCAGCACCUUUGUAUUUCUGUUGGAGAGCCUCCCAUAUAUCAUGUGAUGUUUCAGCGGAAGCUAUGAUCUCGAAUGUAUCUUCAUCAAGACCUUGAUAGAUGAUGGUCUUUGCUUUGUUGUCCUUCUUUCUGUUGACUUUAAGGCUUGCUUCUGUGCCUCUUGUAAAGCAUCUUCUCUUUCUUUGGACUCUGGUUCAUCAUAACCAGUUUGUACAAUAUCCAAACACUCUUGUGACCCAAGGAAUGCCUUCAAUCUGAUGCACCAACUAUCAUAGUUGUCUUUGGUCAGCUUCGGGAUGAGUGUAUGUGUACCUUCUGUAGUCAUUUUGCUCUUUGAAUGACUAUAUCACCUUUCUGGGAGCCGAAUUUGACCAAACGGACACUGUAGAUCGAUCCGGAAUGGUCCAAAUAGUCGGGAACCGGUCUGACUUUGUUGAAAUCGGGUCAGAAAAUGGGUGAACCGGUCAAAAAACCAAUUCUGUACGGCGGACGGUUCGCUGGGUUGAACCGGGAAUAUUCGGGGAAUAUUCCAGGGAAUAUUCCUUCGGCUCGGCUGAGGCUGGAACGCGGCUCGGCUCGGCGCGGCUCAAUAUGGUGCGCGUGUGUCUCAGUCGUCUUCAACCUCUGGAACGCGUGGCUGCGCGUGAGCGACUGUCACCGGAUAUUCAGACGGCGCGUGUGAAUCACCUCCGUCUCCGAUGAAGCUGAUUCUUGCACCAGUGAGCUCGUCUUGAGGAGCUCGACACUGUGGAAUAAUCAAAACUGGUUUUUGACAACUUUGAAAAUUCGGAUAUACCCCAAAACUCUUCUGUUUUCUGACGAACGGGGCUUUGAUACCAAUUGUUGGUGGGAGAAACCACUGGUGGUGGCUUUGAAACACUCAGAGGGGAUAAAACACAACGUUUUAUUACAAAAUCUGAAGCUUACAAUAACUUAACAAUAAAAGCUUACCAAUUACACACCCUCUCUCUCUCUUUCUCUUUCUAGUGUUCCUCUCAAUUCUCUCCACGCAUAUAACAUAAGCUGGGCACUCUAUUUAUACACGAAAUCAAAACAAGAAAAUUCAACCUUCAAGUGUGAAGGCGGCUGGCGGCUGUGGCAGUUGGUGGCUGGUCGGCGCGGCUCAAUAUGGUGCGCGUGUGUCUCAGUCGUCUUCAACCUCUGGAACGCGUGGCUGCGCGUGGGUGACUGUCACCGGAUCUUCAGACGGCGCGUGUGAAUCACCUCCGUCUCCGAUGAAGCUGAUUCUUGCACCAGUGAGCUCGUCUUGAGGAGCUCGACACUGUGGAAUAAUCAAAACUGGUUUUUGACAACUUUGAAAAUUCGGAUAUACCCCAAAACUCUUCUGUUUUCCGACGAACGGGGCUCUGAUACCAAUUGUUGGUGGGAGAAACCACUGGUGGUGGCUUUGAAACACUCAGAGGGGAUAAAACACAACGUUUUAUUACAAAAUCUGAAGCUUACAAUAACUUAACAAUAAAAGCUUAACAAUUACACGCCCUCUCUCUCUCUUUCUCUUUCUAGUGUUCCUCUCAAUUCUCUCCACACAUAUAACAUAAGCUGGGCACUGUAUUUAUACACGAAAUCAAAACAAGAAAAUUCAACCUUCAAGUGUGAAGGCGGCUGGCGGCUGUGGCAGCUGGUGGCUGGUCGGUGGCAGCUGGUGGUUGCCUUCCUUGACCAUCUAGAUGUUGAGUUUAAUAUUCAACAAGAAAAACGCGAGAAUCAAGAAAAAGAAGGUUUAGUGCAUUUGUUUUGGGUUUAGUCUGUUUUGAUUUCAAGAAAAGAAAAUGAUCACUCGUAGUUAGCAGGUUUCCUUUCCACUUUUACAGAACAAAGAAAUGUUUUUGAAUCUUAAAGCGUCCAUGAGAUAUUCUACGUGACAACCGAGGUCAAAACCGAGAGAUCGAGUUCAUCAUGUGGCUUCUUAUAGUAUACACUGUCUGCGUUUAUCACUUUACCGUCAGGAGAUUUGAAAAACCAGCUUUUUCACAGAUUUCCUUUUCACAGGCUUUCAUGAUCUGUAAAUAAAAAGCAUGGGUUGUUGUUAUUCUUUGAAAUCAUGAGAGUACAAAGGAUUUAUGCAAUGCAAAGUUUUGUCUUGGUUUAUACCUUCAAUUCAGAUUAAAGAAAUCUAAACAAAAAGAGGAAUCAUUUUGUUUGCUCAUUUCGUUACUGGAAGUCUACAUCUCAGCAGCAGAAAUUUUUAUCUUAGCUUUCUACUUGUAUUUUCCUUGUCACUGUAAAUGCUCAUAUUCACGUGUUGAAUAAUAGCUUUUCCUGUAUCAUAAUGUAUUGAAGAAGAUGAAUUUUUACAUUAAAUAAAAUUCAAGGUUUUUAAAUAUUAAUCUAGAAAUUGAAAGUUUAGAACUUUAAUUGGCAUUAUUCAAGGUUUUUAAAUAUUAAUCUAAUUUUUUUCCAUAUAUACCUUUCCUUUCAAUCUUGGGGAGGCCCCAGCCAACAUCAUGAUGUAACAACAUUUACUAUAUUUAAUUUUAUUUAUUAAAGUCUACUUGUAAAAAAGCCAUUGCAAUUCUAUAAAUAAAAAAGGAAGAAAACUUAACAAUACUGUAUAUGAAAACAACAUAAAAAAAACCUAGAAUUAUUAUUAAUUUUCUAAAAAACCGUUUAUCUUAUUAAUUAAACUAACAAAAUGUAGAAAAUCUAAUAAACCACAUACUCCUUCUCUCUACUUGAUCAUAAUCAGCAUGAAACUAAACGCUACAGAUCCAACAUGAAACACCACUUCAUUUCACUUGACUAAAAGGCCCCCUAAUCUUCUAUCUAAAUCAAUAUUUUUCUGUCUUAAUUCAAAUUUUUACUCUUAAUUUUGAUUUAAAAAAAAAACUACAAAAAUAAAUAAAAAUACAAAAUUUCUAAAAAUAUGUAUUUUUAACAUAAUUCAGAUCAUUUUGGAUCAUUUCAUAAUUUUCAGUCAUUUUAUUUCUCGUAUUUGUGUUUAUGAUUUUUCAAUAGUAACAAAUUCAAGAGAAUUAAAAAAAAAAAAAAAUCACAAACAGAAGAAGAAAAAAAUUUAAUAAGCAUAAUGAUAAUAAAAUAAGAAUUAAAGGACAAAAAAAUCAAUAAAAAUAUUCUUUGAAUAAAAACUAAAAAAUUAGAAUAUUUCUAAAUAAUAUAGUAUAAAUAGUAGAGAUAUUUUCAAGAGAAAAGAGAAAAGAAGGUGCAAAAAGACCCUAGUCACCGUUGGAAAGAAAAUUAAAAAAAUAGAGAGAGAGAGAGAGAGAGAGAAAGUGCGAGAAAUAAUAAGAGAAAAAAAGGAGUAAGAAAAAUUGAAAGAAGAAAAAUUAAUAGAAAAAGAAAGAAAAAUAUGAAAAGGAGAAAAAAAAUAGAAGAAAAAGGAACUCUUACUCUCUCUCUACCAAAGAAGAAAAAAGUAAAAACAACUCCCUACCAAGUAAGCCUCCACCAUCUCUCUAUCACCUUGAUUCUGCCCAAAGCUCCUCCACACCACACACCGAUUUGACCUAGGAGAUCUCCUCACUUCGCCUGACAAAACGCCAUCUUCUCCCAUUUUCUCGAUUACAACUUCAUUUUUGAAUUGACACCUUCUCUUCCUCAUCGGCCAUUACAGUAGCACCAAUGACAACAGUGUUCCUUGCAGAACAGACGCAUGAGCAUUAAGCAUCAGUGGCAGCAACCACUAAGCAAUGGUGAGAAGUAUAGAUCUGGACAAAGAGGAAAAAGAGAGGUGUAGACCAAAACUUUCAAGUGUCUGAUCUCUCCUCUAGAAGACAGUGAUCAUCAACACCAACAUCGAUUAACAAAGCAUAAAGUGGCGUUUAUGGCGGGUAGGUCCACAACCUAAUCAUGGCAGUUUCCCCUAGCGCGUUCUUUCACGCGCCACCACUGCCUCCUCGCUUUCCAUCAUUGUUUCAGCCUCUUUCUAUCCACCUCAUCCACUGUAGAACGUUGAUCUCAAAACCUAAAUAAUUUUUUUACAUAUUCUUGAAUUUUAUGGUGUUAUGUUUUAUGAUUUUAUAUGUAUAGUCGCUGAUAAUCUUAUGCGGGGAUUUUUUUUAUGUGUGGAAUCAUUAAUUUUAUGAUUGGAAUUUGGAAGUGUAAAUUCCAUGUGAGGAUAUGCGAGUGUUUAGUUAAGGAAAAAAAAUUAUUUCGUUAAGUAUUAUUCAACUAAAUGAUAAAAUAAAAUAAAUGGUAGUAGGAAAGAAUAUGAGAGUGGACAAUCGCCAGCAACAUCUUCUCUGCAAAGUCUGCUUGGAAAAUCUCUUUACAAGUCCUACGUAUGAGAACAGAGUCAUUUACUAGUCAUCCUUUAUCUUGCUAAAGGUCGUGUCUAUCCAAUUCUCUAAGUGCCUAGCCUCAAAGUUACAACAAGAAUUUUGAUGUCUUUUCAUUCCGAACACACUUUUGCAAUAACAUUUAUAUGUUUACUUGAUUGAAUUAUUUUUAUCUAGAGAUUGUUAGCGGAUAUACAGUUUAUGGAUAUGAUCAAUAUCGUUUAGAUACUUAAAGCUUAAAUAGUUAAUACAUUAUCAAAACUAAUAACCAUAAACUAUAUUAUCUUCAUCAUCUCAUCAUUAACGACCAAACUGAUAUGAAGAGUCAAUACAAUCAUUUGGUGGAUCCGAUAACUUUGCAUGAUUAGCUCUAUCGUCUUCUUCUGGCAUCUGAUGUGGGGUGAUAAAAGGCUUAGGAGGCAUUCGUAGGGAUUCAACAUCUGAUUCAAGCAUCUCUACAACUUUAUGCAUUGAGGGACGAUCAACAGGCUUCAACUGUAUGCACCACAAUGCCACAUAAUCAUCUUUUUCAUUGUUUUUUCUUCAUGUUCCAUGGCAUCUUCUAGUACUUCUAUGUCCUUUCUUCACUAACUUGGUCAUAAACCAUGAAGGGAAGUAAAUUUGGCUUGAAUGAUUUGCCAAUGCGUUCAAGUUCUUUCUUCUUCCUACCAUUUCCAUCAAUAACAUCCCGUAACUAUAGACAUCAGCUUUGUAAGAGACACUCCAAUAUUUUUAUAAAACAGUUCAGGAGCCAUGUAUCCUAUCGUUCCUCUAGCAGUAGUGAGGGGCACGUGUUAUUAGAUGUUGGGUACAAUUCUAGUCCAAAAUCUGAUAUUUUUGGAACAAAUUUUUCGUCAAGCAAAAUGUUGUGCGGCUUGAUAUCAAAAUGCAAAAUUUGCAUAUCACAACCUUGAUGUAGAUAUUCAAUGCCACGAGCCACCCCAAGAGAAAUCUCAUACAUUUUCUCAUUACUUAGUGGGACACUACCUUCCUUAGAAAAAAUGUACUUUUCAAGAGACCCAUUAGGCAUGAACUCGUAUAUAAGAGCACGCUUCAAUCCCUCGACGGUGUAGCCUAUAAGUUGUACGACAUUGACAUGGUGAAUUCUUCCAUUAUGGCAACUUCGUUGAUAAAAUCUUGUCCAUUGGCUUUUGACUUGCCAAAAUAAUUUAACUGCUGCAAAACGACCACAUAUGAAGCUUUCCCUUAUACACUGAGCCAAAGCCUCCUUCACCCAACUUAUCUUUAAAUCCGUUGGUUAUCUUCUUAAUCUCUGAGUAAGUGUACCUUAUCUGCAUGAGAUCAUUAUUCAUGACUUUGCAAGAAUUUUUCAAUGUCGUCGUACAUGGAUAAAUGUCGUCUUCGCCAUUUAUAGAUCAGCAAAGUUAGGAGACAUAGAAGCCCGCAUGAAAGCAGUAGCACAUGAUAUGUCACUGUAUAGAGACAUUAUAAAAAGGGUUAACAUCAAAAAUAUUUUACAAAUACUUCAUUGAUUUUAGUGACGAGUUUAUGUGUGAUUAAUUCUUCAAUUUCAAAAUCUAAUCGUCAUGCCUCUCAACACUCUAAUAUAUACCUUAUGAAAUUGAAAACAAAACAGUAUCCAUGCAAGUCUAUGAUACAAACAAUAAAAGGAACUAUAAAAACUUUCAAAAUACCUUCUUUUUUUAUUUAUGAUAAUUGAUAGUAUUAUUAAUACCAUUCUAGCUAUUAAGAAAAUGGCCAACAUAAAAAAAAUCUGAUAUUUGUUUUAUAAAAUAAGAUCAUUAAGGGAAAGGAAAAAUAGAAAAGUGUUAUCCUAAAGAAGUAGUAAAUACUGUCAAAAUACUCAUGCUCUAUGUUUAUUAGAAUAUUUUUCCUUCUAGUGCUUUAAAAUCAUUGUUUAUAAUUGAAAACAAAAGUAGAAAGAAUAUUAGAUACAUUAAUUUGAUGCAAAAAUAAUAUGAAUUUAAGCUGUAAGAAAUAUUUAAAUUUCAAGUUCUUAUUUUCUACAACUAAAUAAACUUAAUGAAAAUAAGUCAUGAAAAAUAAUUAUUUCUUAAGCUGUAAUUGUUGCGUGAUGAUAUACAUCUAUUUAUUGUUUCACAAUUAGCUAAUAAAAGCAAAGCAAAAUACUUACCGAUAAAAGAAAGUAUCAUAGGGAGAAAAAACAUGAGAAACCUUAGUAAAACUGAAGGGAUGGUUAUCUGGUAAUCACAAUAAUCUGCCAAAUAAAAACACAAGAACAAAAAAAUAAAUAAAUAAAAUGAUGAAUAAUUUACCAUUAUGAUUGAGAAUCAAUUCAUUCAAAUAAAAGCAUUAUAAAUUAUAAUAGAAAGAUAACUAAUUUGGAACAAUUGAAAACUAUAUCUUUAUCCACUAGAUAUAAGAAGAUUAGAAGUGAUAUCUUAUUUCAUUUAGAUCUUCUAAUUAGAGUGGAAGAUUAGGAUUGAAAAAAAAAAACUUCUUAGGGUCUUUUAUUUAUUUUAUUAGAAAAAAUAAAUAUUAGUACUCCUUCUGUAAAAUGAUAUAAUUACACAAAAUAAAUUAACUCACCCCCAGUAAUUCGACAAAUUGUCCAGGAGAUACCUAUAAUCACCAAGAAAAUAUGAAUCAGCGCGCAAAAUCUGGAUGAUUAAUUAAAAAAACCUCAUUCGCGAAGAAAAUGCGUGAAGUAAAUGUAUCGUUUUGACCGUAAUAGUCCUCACCUUCUAAAAAAGGGUCUACCAGCGUCGUCACGACUGCAUUUCAAGAAAAAAAGGUCAACAGUAUUGAUAAUAUGAACUUGAAAUUUUAAACCGAAGAAAUGUAGAUUAUUAAAAUAUAAAAUCAUUAUUGAAGCAUUAGAUUAGAUUAUCAUUAUUGACUUUACUUUCAGAAGAUUUCCUGUUACCAUCUGAAAAUUUGAAACUGUGUUAUGCAGACAUGUAGAUUUAAACCCAUAAAAUAAAGCAAACAUGUUAUGCAUGCAUAAUCAUAAUACAGUACUUGAGAUAAGUUGAUACAUAAUCAUGUUAUGCAUGCAUAAUCAUAAUACAGUACAUGAGAGACAGAGAGAGAGAGAGAGAGUACGUACGGUAUGGUUCUGGGAAACGGUUAUAUUGUAAACAAUAAUUGUACUUUAUUAUAUCAAGGUUGCAGCGGUUCUCUGUGCCAUAAUCUACUGAACAUUGAGAGAGAAACUUUCUUUGGGAAACCAAAUAAUGUGCUUUGUUACACUUUGCUCAAAAGAUAUAUAAAUAAGUUAUGUGGACAUUACUCGUCUACAGACUACGUGUACCAUCUUGGAUCAAUACGAAAGGAAAUCAAUCGAUAGCCACAAAUUAAAGUCUUCGAGUUAUUGUCUUGGGCCCAUUCUCAUUAAAUUCAUGGGCCCAUUCUCAUUAAUUAUAUUUUUCAAAUUUCUAAAUGAGAUGCAGACGAGCCCAUUCAAUAUUUUUGAAAUUUCCAAAAUGAGGAAACUGCCUUGAAGUUUCCAAGUCAAUAAGAGAAAAAAAAAAAAAGCAAGGAAAGAAUGUGGUGCCAUUCAAUAUUUAAAUAUAAAUAUAGUAGGAAUAAAGUUAAAAUGCAAAACUGCAUAAAAACCACGUCGUUCUGCAAAACUCUAAGUGAAAACAACUACGUUUCUUUUUUUAAAGGGGUUACAAUAUGAAACGUUUCCAGUGUGUGCUAAAAUAAAAAAAAUUAACAAAAUAAAUUAUAACAUUUCGUGUGAAAACUUUAGGUUAAGUCCUAUGUACAUAUAACUAUUAAACAAUUAAAUUAAGAUCCAACUUAAAGUUAAUAUAUUUAAAAUAAAAUAAUUAACUUAAAGUUUAUUUUUAAAAUGUUUAAUUUCAUCAACUAAUUAAGUAAUUAAAUUUUAAUAAAGUAUUAUAUGUAAAACAAAAAUUAAGUAUUUAAAAUUAUUUUUUAUCUUUUAAAAAAAGAAGAUAUCAGCAUAAUAUUGCAAACUAUAUAAUCCGAAAAUUCAUCCAAAAGUUAAACUACUAUUGCAAAAGUGAGGUUGAAACAUUUUUUGCUUCCACGUAGUAUUGGCGAUAUUAUGCAAAUUUGUUGAAACAAUUUUACAACAAAUUUGCAUAAUUUUCAAUGGAUGUAGCAUUUCUAAAUUCAUUUGGAAUGAUGGUACUGUUUCUUUGAUUUAGACUUGCAUCAUAGUAUGAAGAGCAAGCAUCAAUAAUAAUAACAACAACAAAAACAUGCAUAUAUAUAUAUAUAAAGAAUGAUUAAUUUGAAAAAAUCAACAAAAAAAUAAAUUACAAAGUAAAUAUUUUAUUUUCACAGAAAAGUCAUGAACAAAUUAUUAUAAAAUACUUGUAUAUCAUGUCCAUAUGUAAUUAUUCAAAAAACAAUUGCUAAUAUUAUCGUAAAAAAUCUAACCAUAUUUGAAAUUUAUAAAAUAUAUAACCGGGUACCUUUUAAAAUCUCUUCUUUAUAAUUCAAUUAAAAGCGAGUUUUUUACAGUAAUCUUUAAAAGAAAUAAUAAAAAUUAAAAAGAGAGGAAAAAUGAUGGCAGAUAAUUAUCAAAUACGGUAAAAGUUGAAUUAUGAAGUUAAAGUUAUUAAUUGCCUAAACGUAAUGUCUUGCCACGUUAAAAUAUAAAAUUGAGUGUCCGUUGUUUUCACAAUCAAAUUCCUAUUUUUGGUAGCUAAUUAAUAUUAUGGAUAUUGUCACCAGAGCACAGUAAUUGUUGCUCUUUCAAGCACGACAAGAAUGGUUUGUAUUAUGGUUUUCUGGAAAAUAUAAUUAUUUAGAUUAUUUUAAUAUGUUAAAAAUAAAAUAAUUUUUUAAUAUAUAUAUUUUUUUUAAAAAGCAAGUUGAUAACAAUGACACAUUCACAUUAUUGAAUGGUUUGGAUCGCGUGUUUGGAAACUGGUUAAAAUCAUAUUUUCUUAAAUUUUAUUUUAAAUUUUAUUUUUUAUAUUUUUAAAUUAUUUUGAUGUGUUGAUUUUAAAAUUAUUUUUAAAUUUUUUUUUAUAUAUAUAUUUUUAAAUAAAAAAUACUUUAAACCAUAAACUCUGUAAUAAUCUCAAACAAGCUCCCAUCUAUCAUAACCGCGGUAAUGGAAUAUACAGAGAAAGAUAGCUUUUGUUUGGGUCCCAUCACGUAGAUAACAAUAAGUUAAUGGGUUUGUAAUAAAUCAAAAUCUUUAAAAACCGAGAAAGCUUUAGUUUUAAGAUAUUUAAUUUUUAUUCGUCAAAUAUUAUUGUUCAAAUGCCAUUCCAAUAGCUUUUUGUAAUGAUAAAUAAAUGGGGUCAGAUAGAGUCCACACAAAGAUGAUUUGAAACAGUGGGAAGCUGACAAUCAAGAAAUUGCAUGAAAAGUUCCCACCGAUGAAUUAGGGGAAGACCUCUUUGUGGCCUCCGCUUUCAAAGUCAAGCUCGUCUACAUGUCGGGUCCAUCCUGAAUGCGAUGCAGACGAGCCCAAACAGAGAAGAAAGAAUUGGAAAACAAAAAUAUAAGUAGUCUUCCCUUGAAGUUUCCAGAUCAAUAGUUAACAAAAUAAAUUAAGAGUUUAUGUCCUAUGUACAUAUAACUAUUAAACAAUUAAAUUAAGAUCCAACUUAAAGUUAAUAUAUUUAAAAUAAAAUAAUUAACUUAAAGUUUAUUUUUAAAAUAUUUAAUGUCAUCAACUAAUUAAGUAAUUGAAUUUUAAUAAAGUAUUAUAUAAAAAACAAAAAUUAAGUACUUACUUAAUUUUAAGUAUUUAAAAUUAUUUUUAUCUUUUUUUAAAAAAAAAAAGAUAUCAGCAUAAUAUUAAUUGCAAAAUAUAUAAUCCGAAAAUUCAUCCAAAAGUUAAACUAAUAUUGCAAAAGUGAGGUUGAAACAUUUUUUGCUUCCACGUAGUAUUGGCGAUAUUAUGCAAAUUUGUUGAAACAAUUUUACAACAAAUUUGCAUAAUUUUCAAUGGAUGUAGCAUUUCUAAAUUCAUUUGGAAUGAUGUAACCGUUCCUUUGGUUUAGACUUGCAUCAUAGUCUGAAGAGCAAGCAUGCAUCCACUACAAGAUUUCAUAGUUUUACCGUCGAUGUGUGACAGAAAGUUCGUCGGUAAAUUAUUUACCGACUAUAUUACCGACGAAAUACGCCCGUCAUAUUAUGUCCUCAUACAUCACAACAAAAUGGCCUUGCCGAGAGGAAACAUCGUCAUAUUAUGGAAAUGGGACUUACUCUUCUUGCCCAAUCCGGUUUACCUAAACAAUUUUGGGUUGAUGCAUUUCUCACUUCUAUUUUCAUUAUUAAUCGUUUACCUACCAAGGUUCUUGAUUAUUUAUCCCCAUUUGAAUGUCUUUUCUACAUUCCUCCUGACUUCACUUAUUUCCGAGCUUUUGGAUGUCAAUGUUUUCCAUAUCUUCGUCCUUACUCAACUGACAAAUUAUCUUAUCGUAGCAAGCCUUGUAUUUUCAUCGGUUAUUGUUCUAAUCACAAAGGUUUUCGGUGUUUUGAUCCAUCUUCUAGGCGUGUUUAUAUAUCUCGAAAUGUGAUUUUUUAUGAAGGUCAUUUCCCAGCAACAGUACAAUCUAUCUUCACUGACUCUGCCAGCAACGUGAGCUCCUCAGGUAAUUCUCAUAAUCUAUUGUUUUCUCCUCCCUCCACUAUAUUUAUUUCUUCCCCUGCUGUUCCCGCUCCUACUAUCCCAUCUUCACCUUCCCUUUCUCAAAAUUCCACCUCACCCGUCCAUGACCUCCAUCCAUUUACACCAAUUUCCACCUCUAGUCAUUCUGACACCCCUCUAGCCUCUCCCAAUUCCUCUCCACCCAUUCAUCAAUUUUAUUCUUCCCAUAACAGUGAGCAUCCUACUCAUCCAGACAUAUCACCUUCUCUUCCCCUACCUCCCUCUCACAUGGUCACUAGAUCCCAGACUGGCCAUCUUAAACCCCGUAGCUUUCCUGGUUUCCACACAUAUUACUCUACCUGUCACCCCCUUCAAGCUCUGUAUGCAGGUAUGGUCAUCUCUGAGCCUUGCACCUAUGCUCAAGCAGCUUCUCUUCCUGAGUGGCAGGCAGCAAUGGACACUGAAUUUCAGGCAUUACUCAAGAAUAACACCUGGUCUUUAUGCUCUCGUCCUCCUGGUAAAAAUGUGGUGCCUUGCAAAUUGGUCUUCAAACUAAAGAGGCAACCCGAUGGAAGUAUUGAACGUCACAAGGCUAGACUUGUUGCUGUUGGCUAUUUACAGAAAAGUGGGAUAGACUUUCAUGACACGUUCAGUCCUGUCAUCAAACCUUCGACUGUUCGUAUGGUCCUUACAAUUGCUGUUUCUUUCAACUGGGACAUUAGGCAGCUUGACGUCUCGAAUGCCUUUCUCCAUGGCAUUUUAGAAGAAGAGGUAUACAUGACACAGCCGAAAGGCUUUGAAGAUCCGAUGCACCCUCACUUUGUUUGUAAGCUUCACAAAUCUCUCUAUGGUUUCAAGCAAGCCCCUCGGGCUUGGUUUCAUCGUCUAUCUACUGCCUUAUUGUCUCUUAACUUUCAUAGCUCCCAAGUUGAUCCCUCCUUGUUCACUUAUCACCACGGUUCAGUGCAUGUGUUCUUAUUAAUAUAUGUGGAUGAUAUCCUUGUCACGUCUAAUGACCAAGAAUUCAUUACAUCUCUUAUCGCUAACCUGCAACUUGAGUUUUCCAUGAAGGACCUCGGCCAGUUGGCUUACUUCCUGGGUAUUGAAGCUACACGUUCUCCUUCUGGGUUGCAUCUUCGGCAAACAAGAUAUAUUAUUGAUCUUUUAGAUCGAGUGCAUCUCCUUGGCAUCCGACCUUAUAGAGCUCCUUGUGUCUCAGGCUCCAAACUAUCCAAAUUUGUUGGGGAACCUCUUUCAGAUCCAACUGAGUACAUGCAAACAGUUGGUGCCUUACAAUAUGUCACUCUCACGCGCCCUGACAUUGCAUAUUCAGUAAAUCAGCUAUGCCAACACAUGCAGACUCCAACCUCUGCCCACUGGACAACAGCUAAACGUGUCCUAUGUUAUUUGAAGAAUACACUUGAUUAUAGCCUUUUCUACAAACCUGGUUCCUUCUCCAUUAAUGCUGUCAUAACCCAAAUUUUGACCAUUUUUAUUUUUAUUAUUUUAUUUACUGAAAAUGAUAAAAAAUGAUGAUAAAAAAAAUAAUAAUAAUGAUGAAAACAAGUAAAAUGAAAUAAAUGAAGAAUGAAUUAAAAUUUGGGUUAAGGGCAACAUGAUUGGAAGUUUUUGGGGUUUAAUUAAACUUUGGAAUUAAUCUAAUUAAGCUUGGAAUUAAUUUAAUUAAUCCAAUUAAGGGCUUAAUUGGAGAAUUAAUAAGUUUUGAGAUUUAAUUAAGCUUGAAAUUAAUUUAAUUCAUCCAAUCAAGGAUUUAAUUGGAGAAUUGAUAAGUUUUGAGACUUAAUUAAGCUUGGAAUUAAUUUAAUUAAUCCAAUUAGGGGCUUAAUUGGAGAAUUGAUAAGUUUUUGGACUUAAUUGGCUUUGAAUUAAUUUAAUUAAUGAAAUCCGAGGACUUAAUUGAAGAAAUAUCAAAGUUUGGGGUUUAAUUGGGGUCCAAAUUGCAAGCAUUAAAAUCCAAGGACCAGAUUGAAAAUGGCGCGAAAAUGCAAGGAUCCAAUUAAACUUUAUCCAGGGGCUUAUUUACAAACAUUUCAAAACUUCAAGGACCAGAUCAUAAAUAGUAGUUGAUGGGAAAACGGAGCCGUUUCUUGGACAAAACUAUUCACUGUCUUCUUCCUCCGUUUCAUCGGUUUCCAGCCAACGCUUAAGUUUCAGCAUUGAAGGCACUUAAAGGGUAGGUUACACUGGGCAUUUAGGAGGCUUGCCGUUACCACCGAUUGUGGUCUUAUAAAAGGAGGAGUCGCAGCCAACAAAGGAGGAGGGAGGAAAAUAAAGGGAGAAACCCAGGGGAGAAGGCUAGGAACCAGUGGAGAGAACACUGAAAACCAGAGAGGAAAACAAGGGAUUUUGGGACUGAAAAGAGAGAAACAGGGAGGGACCGGAGACAAAAACCCAGGAGCAAAACCAGAGAAAGAAAGCCAUGCACGGCAGGGAGAGAGACUAAAACCAAAGGAAAACCAGAGAAAAAAGGCAGAACCGAGGGAGGAAAAAGCCAUGCACGGGAGGGGGAAGAGAUAGAACUGAGGGGGAAGAAAUCACAGAACACGGAGACAGAGAGAAUAAGAAAUAAACACGGAAGGAGAGACUGGACAAAGGAGAAGAGAACAGCCCGCCACCUAGCCAGUCAUCAUCUUCGUCUCCGGCAGCACCUGAACCAGGUAAGUCUUCUCUGCACUCCUGCAUUAUAAUUCACUUGCUACAGUAGCAAGUGAAUUAUAAUUAAUUCACUACCCAACCGGUCACAACCGGGUCAGCUGGGUCCAGCCCAGCCCAAAAAAAUAAAAAUAAAAAAAUAAAAAAAAUAGAAAAAAUUAAAAAUAGAAAAAAUUAAAAAAUGUGUAUGCAUGAAUAAAAAUAAUGUAAAUUUACUGGUUUAUUCACUGAUGCCAGAGUCAGGAAUAAAAAUACCGGUUUAAAUUUAUAUUAUUCUUAUUCGUUGUAUUUUUAUUUUAUUUAGCUAGAAAAAUAAAAUAUGUGCAUGCUUAAAAAUAAAUUUAUUUAUUUAUUGACUGGCGCUAGAGUAAGGAAUAAAAAAAAUAUAUUGAUCAAAUUUUAUUUGUCGUAGCUACGAAUUUUUACCAACGCCAGAGUUGGAAUUAUUCGAGCUCGAAUAUUCACUGGCGCCAGAGUCAGGAAUAUUAUAAACAAAUCAUCACAGCAUAAAUUAAUAAAUAUUUAGCACUUUAAGACAAAACCAACAAUGCAGUCUGCCUUAGGCAGAACGUUUAAGGGGUGAUAAUAUCUUCCCUUUUACGUAAUCAAUCCCGAGUCAUAGAAUCUCUGUUGACCAGUUAGGGUUUUCUAGUGACCAUAAUACUAGGUGACGACUCCUCAAACGAGAUAUUUUUCCUUAAAAGAACCGGAUGCCAGAAAUCUGUUUUUUUUUCCAUAAUUCAAGAGAAUUAAUUUUUAGGGUCGCCGCGAUGUCGGGUGCAACAAAUGCCUACUAUGAUUCUGAUUGGGCUGGUGAUCCCGAUGAUAGAAGAUCAACGUGUGGUUAUGGUGUUUAUGUAGGUUCCAAUCUCAUUUCAUGGUUGGCUAAGAAAUAACCUGUGGUCUCCAGGUCUAGCACUGAGGCAGAAUACCGUUGUUUAGCCCUUGUUACAGCUGAAGUGUAUUGGUUGCGUAUGCUUUUGUGUGAGCUGAAAAUUUCUCUUCAAGCUGCCCCUGUUAUUUGGUGUGACAAUAUCAGUUCUUUAGCCCUUGCCUCCAAUCCAAUUUUCCACGCACGGUCUAAACACAUCGAAGUUGAUUACCAUUUUAUCCGUGAAAAAGUGGCCAAUCAAGACAUAAUUUUACAACAUGUCCCCACUUCUUUGCAGCCUGCUGACGUUUUUACAAAGGGACACACAGCUGAUCGUUUUUGUUUUCUGCGGGACAAACUCUCUGUGUUGGAUCUUCCAGCUGAUUUGCGAGGAAAUGAUAAAGAUAAGAGUUGUGUUGUAUCUCCCUGCUAAAUUGCGAGGGAAUGAUAACGAUAAGAAUCAUCCUACGUGAUUAGGAUCAUCUGCAUAGGGUGUGUGUAUAUCUUGUAUUUGAAUCCCACGUAAACUAUAUCUCUUGUAAACAAACGUAGAAAGCUAGUUGUUGUAUCAGAUGUAAACACUGUGGUUAUAUAAGCCAGAAUACGAAAGAUAUUUGUAACCUUUUCCAGAAUUAUUUCAUAUACUGUCUGCAUUUAUCAAAGUUAGUCUGUAAGCUGCUGAUCAAAUUUGCUCUAGCUGUGGGGUGAGUCUUAGGGUUUGAUGUAUCCCUUAUCAUUUGAAACCAUGUCAUGAAAUUGUUGUGUGGUCUCUUACAAAUUAACUGUGCCUUACAAACUUGAAUUGGUGACCAACUCCGGGAAGAAUUCUGUUAAUGCCGGUCCUGCUAGGAAAGCUUGAAUGCCUAACUGUGCACAGGUUUAAUUCCCCACCAUUGACAUCUUAGAGUUAGAUGGUCAAUAUUUUAACAUUCUGUCUCUCCUUUCAUCUUUAGAAAUAUGCAUUACUGAUCACAGAGGAAGCAAUAGCUCACCACUCCAACAGCCAUACCAGUGCCAUUUAUGCUUCACAUGUUUCUGGUCAACCACUCUCACCAUAUUUUUUUUUGUGGAACAGGGAUGGAGGAGUUAAGGGACUGUUUAUAGGAGAUGGUCCCCGUGUUGCUCGUGCUGGCCCUUCUGUUGGAAUAGUCCCUACGAAAAGAAAUCAAUGGCCACAAACUACUAAAGUCUUGGAAUUAUUGCUUGGUUGCUCUCUAGCUCAAUGAUUAAGAUUUAGGAAAUUGCAUGAAAAGUUCCCACCAAUGAAGGGGAAGACCUCUUUGUAGUCUCCGAUGAAUGCGAUAUUGCAUACGAGCCCAAACAGAGAAGAAAGAAAUGGAAAACAAAAAUAUAAGCAGUCUUCCCUUGAAGUUUCUAGGUCAAUAGAAAACAACACAGGCAAUUAAUUAGAGAAAAGGUUAAGAAAAAAAAAAAGUGAUAACAAUCAAGCUAUCUUUCAUCACGUAGAUAACAAUGACAAUAUUGUUUAAGCGGCUGAUCGUUGGAAAUCACCGAUCAAAACCACGGUAAUGGAAUAUAGAGUGAAAGAUAGUUUUUGUUUGGGUCCCAUCACGUAGGUAACAAUAAGAUAAUGGGUUUGUAAUAAAUAAAAACCGAGAAAGCUUUAGCUAGCUAUAGAAAAACAACUAAUAUAUUUAUUUUUUAUUCCUUAAAUACCAUUAUAACACUUUAAAUAGAAAAACUAAGAAGAAAAAAAAAUCAAAUCCUAUAAUUAUUACUAGUUUCAUAAUAAACCACUUCAUAAUUAAAUAAAACUUAUAUAAAUCCUAGAAAAUCCUAACAAUUAAAUAAGUAAUACAGUAAAAAUAAAUAAAUUAUACCAAAAAUUGAAUCCUAUCCAUCCCACAUUAUAUUCUCCCACUUGAAAAAAAAAAUCAUCCACAAGUUAACUUCAAGAAAUUGAACUAUUCUAUUCUUAAAAAUAAAAUAAAAUCACUACCAGAAAUUCGCUAAAUACCAACGGACAUACCGACGGAAUUUUUUCUAUCGGUAUUUUUCGGCCGAAAUCACCGACGGACAAUAUUCGUCGGUAAUUACCGACCGAAAAUUUAGAAUUAAUGAAAAAAGGGCGGGCAGUGGCGCGGAGGUUUUGGCGGGUGAUUUUUCCGACGGAAUCACCGACGGAUUUGAAAUACCAGAUCCGUGCGCGUGAUGGGACCUGUUCACCGUCAAAAAAUACAGACGGAAUCACCGACGGAUUUGAAAUGCCAGAUCCGUACCGGUGACGUGACCGGUGCACCGUUAAAAAUACCGACGGAAUCACCGAGGGAUUUGAAUAGCAGGUCCAUGCGGUGACGUGUCGAUUGCCCGUCAGAAUUACCGACGGUUUUGCCGACGGAUUCACCGACACUCUCCUCCCCCAUUUAUCCUUCUUCUUUCUAAUCCUAACCCUCCCCAUUUGCAAAAUAACCAGCCCCCCCCUCGCCCCAAAACAAAAAUCUUCCUCAUCUCAGCACAGCAAGUUGUAUUUGUUUUGUGGUCACAGCAUCCGUGUUCUGAUUUACCGACGGAUUUUAUCAUUUUUUGUAAGUAAUUCUAUCUUUUAAAAUUUUAACAUUUAAAUGUCAAUUUUAUUGUUUUUUUAGUAUAUGUAUUAUUUUUUUUUAGUAGAUGUACAUGUUUUAUUGUUAUUUCUCAAACAAACUUGUAGUAUAUGAAUGUAUAAUUUUAUACUUGUUAUGGUUUGUUUUAGAUUUUGUAAGAUUGUAUUUGUUUGAAAAUUGUUAAAACUUAAUUUGUAGAAUUACCGAAUUACAUGUUGUGUUUUGAAAUAAUUAAGAGCUUGCUUAAUUAAUGGGUCCUUUUUAUAGAGGUUCGAUAGAAGUCAUGGAUGAUCGUUCAUGGAUGUAUCUAGAUUCACCCCAAGGAUUGCGGAGGAUGGAUUAUUGUAACGGGGUUCAGGGUUUUAUUAAUUUCGCAACAUCUAUUCCCAGAAAUUUUACUGGAGGCGGUAUUAGGUGUCCAUGCAGGAAGUGUCAAAAUAAAAAGUAUCUGCAUCCAGAUGUUGUAAUGAUGCAUCUUCUACACAAAGGGUUUGUGGAGGAUUACGAGUGUUGGUAUGCACAUGGAGAGGUAUUUGUUAGUAAUAGGAGAAUGGGAGAAACGGUGGUUGGGUCAACUUCUAGUGCUAGCAACGUGCAUGAAGCGGCAAAUGACAACACUAAUCCUUACAGAAACAUGGUUAUGGAUGCAAUGAGAAUGAAUCAAGAUAAUGUCAAUCAAUGUCCAAUCGUAGAAGAAGAACCUAAUGCAGAGGCAGCUAGGUUUUUUGAUUUGUUGAAAGAUUCUGACGAACCAUUAUGGGAUGGCUGCACAAACCACAGUAAAUUAUCGGCUGUGGCACAGGUGUUCACCAUCAAGUCAGAUCACGGGUUGAGUGAGGCCGGGUAUGACAAAAUUAUUGAUUGGGCAAGAAGCAUUUUACCAGAAGGGAACAGGCUCAAAGAGAACUUCUAUGCUGCGAAGUCCAUGAUGAAACCCCUCGGUUUAGGAUACCAGAAAAUUGACAUGUGCCCUAACUUCUGCAUGUUAUACUACCUUGAAAAUGCUGUGAUGACCGAGUGCAUGACAUGCGGGCAUUCCCGUUACAAACCCAGAACUGGCAGGGGGAAGACUCUAGUGGCAUAUAAAAAACUUAGAUAUUUCCCGAUCACACCUAGACUGCAGAGGUUAUUUAUGUCACCAAGGACUGCUGAGCACAUGACAUGGCACCAAACACACGAUGUCGUUGAUGGUGUGAUGGUGCAUCCUUCUGACGGCGAAGCGUGGAAACGCUUUAACAGUGUUCAUCCUGACUUUUCUGCUGAAUCAAGGAAUGUUCGACUUGGGUUGUGUACAGACGGGUUCAACCCAUUUGGGUCAUUUGCUGCUCCCUAUUCUUGUUGGCCGGUCAUUCUCACAGUUUAUAACUUGCCACCGGGAAUGUGUAUGAGGCCGGAGUUCAUGUUUCUAUCUACUGUCAUACCCGGUCCAAGCAGCCCGGGGCGGAAUAUAGAUGUUUGUCUUCGACCGUUGAUAGAUGAGCUGGCGCAGUUGUGGUCCUCCGGAUCUCUGACUUAUGAUAUAUCGAGGAAACAAAAUUUCCUUAUGAGGGCGGCUUUGAUGUGGACUAUCAGUGAUUUUCCAGCUUAUGGAAUGCUUUCUGGUUGGAGCACGCAUGGGAAACUCGCAUGUCCAUACUGCAUGGAAAACAACAAGGCAUUCACGCUAGCAAACGGAGGUAAAGCUUCUUUUUUUACUGUCACCGUCGCUUCUUGCCACUUAAUCACAGGUUCAGAAAGAACAGAAAAGAUUUCUUUGUUGGUAGAGUUGAAAAAGAUGUUGCAUCCCCGCGUCUUUCUGGUGAAGAAUUGCAUCAUGUUGUAUCAGAGUACGGUGACAUUGUGUUUGGCCUUCAAUCAGGUAAGCAAAAGUUUCCUGGUUUUGGUUUGACCCAUAAUUGGGUAAAGCGAAGUAUCUUUUGGGAGCUUCCGUAUUGGAAGACUAAUCUUCUCCGCCAUAACCUUGACGUCAUGCACAUCGAAAAGAACGUGUUUGAGAAUAUUUUCAACACCGUCAUGGAUGUGAAGGGGAAGACAAAGGACAACAUGAAGGCUAGAUUGGAUAUAGCUUUAUACUGUAACCGUAAAAAUAUGGAGUUGGUUUAUGACGAGUCACGGGUUGCAAAACCAAGGGCAAGCUUCGUGUUAGAGAAAAACGCACAACUGCUAGUCUACAAAUGGCUUAAGAGUCUGCGUUUCCCGGAUGGACAUGCAUCGAACAUAUCAAGGCUUGUUAACAUAGAGGACUGCAGAUUGUAUGGAAUGAAGAGCCAUGACUGCCACGUGUUUAUGCAAACACUCAUCCCAUUAGCUUUUCGUGAUUUGUUGCCAAAGGGAAUAUGGGAUGCACUAACGGAGAUCAGUCAUUUCUUCAGAGAUAUAUGCUCCAGCAAGAUGAAUGUUGAGCACAUUGAGAUGCUUCAAACGAAUAUCAUCGAGACACUAUGCAAACUUGAGAUGAUAUUCCCUCCUUCAUUUUUUGACUCAAUGGAGCAUCUCCCUAUACAUCUACCGUUCGAGGCAAAAGCUGGAGGACCGGUCCAGUAUAGAUGGAUGUACCCAUUCGAACGGUGAGAUAUUACAGUUGCAAUGGAAUUCAUAUCUUAAAGUAUUUUCUAUGUUUUUCUUAUUUGAAAAUACUUGAAUUGUACUUCAAUGCAGGUACUUGUUUAAUCUAAAAAAAAAGGUUAAGAACAAGGCGCAUGUUGAGGCUUCGAUAUCUGAGGCCUAUAUUGUUGAAGAGAUAUCAACAUUUAUCUCGUACUAUUUCGAACCUCAUCUGAGAACAAGAAUCAAUCGCGUUCCACGGCAUGACGAUGGCGGUGAAGUGCCUUCCAGUGGGAACUUGUCAAUAUUCUCCAAUACUGGACGACCCACACCUAAAAAUGCCGUAAGAGGAAGAUAUUUGUCGGAAAUAGAAUUCAAACAAGCACACAACUAUGUUCUAUUUAACUGUGAUGAGCUGAGACCAUUUAUUCAGUAAGUCUAUAUAUGUGUAAUACUAAUUAAACUUUGUCAGUAAUAUACUGUUAAUUAUAUAUUGUAAUAUCAUACACUCAUUAUCACUUGCAGGCAACAUCGACAAUAUUUGCUCUCCAAUAACUCGCAGCUGACCGAAUCCCAGAUCUUUCAAUUACAAGAUGAACAAUUUGCCACAUGGUUCAGAACACAUGUAAGCACUAUCACAAACUCAUUCUAACGUAUGCAUGUCAUUACGAGAUUCUCGUUCAUUUACCGUGUAUUGAUGUACAUUUAAUUACAUAUAUUUACAAGGUUUAUCAAAUGGGAAGGAGUGCGCCCAAGUCAUUGUCUUCACUAAGCCUCGGCCCUGAAAGAAAAGUUAAGUGCUACAACGGGUAUUUUGUCAAUGGAUAUGUUUUCCAUACUGAAGAAUACGGGCAAGGAAGAAAGACAUACAACUGCGGUGUUUGUGUUAAGGGAUCCACAAGUAGCCAGUUAGAAGUUGACUACUAUGGUAGAUUAGAAGAGGUCGUCGAACUGCAAUAUCAUAGCGAGCAGAAUAAAGUGUUUUUAUUCAAAUGCUAUUGGUAUGACACGACGGACAGAGGAAUCAGAGUUGAUCCGCACCAUGGUCUGGUCGAAAUCAACUCAAAAGCUAGACUCCGCAACAUAAACGAUGUCUUUGUUUUCGCAAAGCAAUGUCAACAAGUUUAUUACACAUACACCCCUUCAUUUAGAAAGGAUCGUUCAAGAGUUGAUUGGUUGUCCGUUUUAAAAACGAAACCACGGGGUCGUGUCGAGGUUGUUCAGGAUGAGAACGAAGACACAAGUGUGCGAGAUGAAGUCUUUCAAGUUCGUGAGUUGGUUGAACCAUAUCGAGUUGCUCCUUCGAUUGAAUUGGAAGAAAAUUCAAAUUUUUGAGUUCUCGAUGAUAGUCUUGUUGAUAUUGACGGAGAGGAGUUGAAUGUUGUUCUCAGCUCUAGCGGACAAGCAAAUGUCGAUGAAGAAGAUGAUAUCCAUAUUGAAGAUUGCGAUGAAGAUGAUGACAAUUCAAUUGACGAGGAAGAAGAAGAAAAUUCCGACUAAUUAUAAAAAUGAAGCCCUAUGUAAAAACAUUUGUCUCAUGUAAUUUAGAUUAUUGAUGAUGUAUUUUGUAAAACAAAAUAUUUACUGUUUAAGCAAUGUGGUUAUUGUGUUUAUGUGAUGGACAGUUUAUCAGUUAAGUUUAUGCAGGAAGGUAAACAGGCAAUACAAAGACAACCUUUCCUGCAUCAUGCAAGCUUACCGACGUCCAUACCGACGGAAAGUGAUCCGUCGAUAUCACACAGAGAGUUCAAAAUUAAUUACGCGAAAUGCUACCAAGACCGACGACAUUACCGACGGCUUCACUGACACAUACACCGACGGAUUAUAGUCCGUCGGUAUCUCACAGAGAGUUCGAAAAGAAUUACAACAAAAUGCCACAUUCACCGACGGGCAUACCGAGGGAAUUACAUCCGUCGGUAUCUCACAGAGAGUUCGAAAAUAUUUACAACAAAAUGCCACAAUCACCGACGUCCAUACCGACGGACAAACAUCCGUCGGCAUCUCACAGUAAGCUCGAAAAUAUUUAGAACAAAAUGCCACAAUCACCGAUGGGUUCACCGACGGAAUAGGUCCGUCGGUAAUUUGUCGCGCGAUUUCCAAAGUGUGUGAAUUAAUGCCCCUCUGAACUUGUCAGAUUAUCGACGGAAUCACCGACGGACUGCGAAAAAUAUGGAGGGCUUUUAAAAAUUCGGGGCGAAAUUCAAAAAAUACCGACAGAUUUUUGACCUGUUACCGACGGAAUUUUUAACUGUUACCGACUGAUAUUGAUUCCGUCGGUAAAAUUGCCCUAUAAGCUCUAGCCCCCGCCGCUUCGCCUCAUUUUUUCUUCUCCCCACCGCUUCGCUUCUCCUCCGUUUUUCACCUCAGAUUUUUCAUUUUUUCCCCUCAAUCCUUAAACACUUUCACCUUUAAUCUCUAGCAAGCUUUGGUGUUGUAAAUCUUCAUCAUAUUAAAAGGUAUGUGUUUUUUUGCUAAUUUAUUUUAUUUUAUUUUAUUUUAUUUUUAGUUUUUUUUAUUUUUGUUGUUUUGGUGUUUUUUGUUGCAAUGUAUAUAAAGUUUUGAAUUUGACACAUUAUUAAGGUAUGUAUAUUUCGUUCCUUUUCUUGAUGUAGGUUUUUGUUUUUGAAUUUUUUGAAUAUUUUUUGUUGUUGUGUUGUUAGAAUUGUUAUUAGUUAAUUUAACUUAGAAUUAGUUAAAGUUGAAUAUUUGAAUUUUUUUGAAUUUUUUGAAUUUGUUGAAUAUUUGUUAAUUUAAUUGUUAGUCUAUAUUUUUUUUUAAUUUAUUGAAUAUUUUUUGUUGUUGUGUUGUUAGAAUUGUUAUUAGUUAAUUUAACUUAGAAUUAGUUAAAGUUGAAUAUUUGAAUUUUUUUGAAUUUGUUGAAUAUUUGUUAAUUUAAUUGUUAGUCUAUAUUUUUUUUCAAUUUAUUGAAUAUUUUUUGUUGUUGUGUUGUUAGAAUUGUUAUUAGUUAAUUUAACUUAGAAUUAGUUAAAGUUGAAUAUUUGAAUUUUUUGAAUUUGUUGAAUAUUUGUUAAUUUAAUUGUUAGUCUAUAUUUUUUUUAAUUUAUUGAAUAUAAUUUAUUGUUGUAUUGCCUAUAUAAUUAUUGAUUAAUUUAUUGAAUUAAUAUUGUUAAUGUCGAAUUUACCUUAGAAUUAAUAAUUGCGUUUGUUGGAAUAAUUAUCGAUUUCCAAUUUAAUUUAUUUACUUUUAAUUUAUUUUUAGUUGUUUUUAUUUUUUGUUAUUUUGUUGUUUUAGUGUUUUUUUUGGUAAUGUAGAUAAAGUUUUGAAUUUGUCACAUUAUUAAGGUAUGUAUAUUUCGUUCCUUUUAUUGAUGUAGGUUUUUUUUUUUGAAUAUUUUGAAUAUUUUUUAUUGUUUUGUUGUCAUAAUUAUAAUGAUUAAUUUGUUGAAUUAUAAUUGUUAAUGUUGAAUUGUAAUGAUUAAUUUGUUGAAUUUAUUGAAUUUAUUUUUUGUCAUAUUUUUUAUUGUUUUGAAUAUAAUUAUUGAUUAAUUUGUUGAAUUAUAAUUGUUAAUGUUGAAUUAAAAUGAUUAAUUUGUUGAAUUAUAAUUUGUUGAAUUUAUUGAAUUUAUUGAAUUUAUUUUUUAUCAUAUUUUUUAUUGUUUUGAAUAUAAUUACUGAUUAAUUUGUGAAUUGUAAUUGUUAACGUUGAAUUUAUCUUAGGAUUAAUAGUUGAAUAUGUUGGAAGAAUUAGUAUAGAUUGGUUCGAUUGGUUGUGGCUAUUGUUAAUAUUUGCAGGUUUGUGGAUUUGGGUAGUAUCCAGUAUAGGGGAGGUGCUGCCGAUUUUUUUUUAACUUUUGAAUUUUAUUAUACAAUUAUUAAUAUAAAAUUGUUUAGAUGCGCAAAAUGAAAACCAGAGCUGGUCGUCCAGUCGAAUCAAGUUCGUCUAGCAGCGAUGAUGAUGUUUCCUUAGGUGCCUCUCAAGAAGAGGCACCUACACCACCUGCGCCGUCAACCGAUGCUGCCUCUUCCAGCGAUGUUUCACAUCGCAGACGCGGCAUGCCUUCGAAGCGGAAUCAAUUUACCCGCCAGUUCGAGGCACAGUGGAAGGACGAUCUUUCAAUGUAAGUUUGUUAAGGUUUUAGUUUUUUUUAUAUAAAAAAAACAAAUUUAAAACAUAAUUUAUGAAGUAAUCACAAAUUAAUUUCAUUUCUUUUCAGGUUCACAAACAUUGAGGCCGCCCGAUUAAUAUCAUCGGCGUUUAAAGCGUCGAUGGAGAUUCCAUUGUUUCAAUGGAGUCAGAUAUCCAGACAUCCUGAAUGGAUGCCUCAAAUCAAUGCAUGGUUUCGUAGAUUUGAGGUUCGUGUUAAUAUAUAAUUUUCAGCUUAUUUCUAAUAAAUUCAAGUUAUAAUUGUAAAUAAAUUAUUAACAUUUUAAAAAAUUAUUUUUUUAUAUACAGCAUCGAUUCUGCUGGGACGAUGAACAUGACACUGUUGUGAGGAGGGUGUGGGAAAAUCACGCGGCAAUUAGGUAACAUCGAAAACAAUACGACUUUUUUUUACAUAAUUAUUUAUGUUUCGAAAUGUAAUUUUUUCGUGCGUGAAUUAGGUUGCGUGAUUUUUGGUAUGACGCCCAGAAAAAAGCAAAAAAAACAGCGAGGGAUAAGGGGUUACAAGGCUGGAACGAUGUUGCGGUUUGGAGGGAUUUCAAACCAAUAUACAUCCCGGAAGAUAUAUGGCCGCACUAUCUUCAGCACGUGACGUCUGAGCGGUUCACUCGACGCUCACAGUCCGGUGCCGGCAACCGGAAUCGGCAAAUUCAUGGCUCGGUUACAACGCACACCGGCGGCUCCGUUCCGUUUGCUGCACAUGCGAAACGGAUGGUAAGAUUAAUUUAAAUGAAAUAUAUCGUUCAAGUAAUUUGUUGUUAAUACAUUUUUUUCAUUAUAUAUAGGCUAUGUCUCUUGGACGUGAGCCGAGCCCUAUGGAGCUGUUUGUGGGGACGCAUGUGCGGAGUCAUGACCGCCAAAAGGGGACGCAACAGUUCGUUGACAACCGUGCUCAACAGUUUGUGGUGUGUUUGUUCAACCAUUUUAUUUUAUAAGUUAUUAUCAUGUUUAUUGAAUUGAAUAUGAUUUUUUUUUUCAGGAGACCUAUAAUAAUCGGUUGAGGGAGAGAUACGGGGACGAUCCUUCGACCCAUCCGGAAUUCGAUCCGGAUUUGUGGAUGGAGGUUGGAUCGUCAGGUGGACCCGAUAAAAAUCGGGUUUACGGGCUCUCCAACACUACCGCCGCCAAGUUGCGGUCGACCGGUACUGCUUCAACCGGUGGGAGCUCCCAAUCUGUAUCGAGCUCCCAAUCUAAGGAGUUUGUGGCCUUGCAGCAAAGGUGCGACCACCUAUCAGAGGCGUACACACAACUCAAAGAAGAGCAAAGAUUGGCGAACGAACAACACAGAUUGGCAGACGAACAACGCAGAGCAGAGUCUGAACAACAAAGAGCGGCCUAUGAAGAGCUUCGUCAAAUGGUCAUGAACAUGACACAAGGUGGAACAUGUGCGCCUAAUCCUUUUUGGCCGCCUAACCCCCACCCUCCUCCUCCUCCUCCUCCACCUUUAUAUUAAUAUUUUUUUUUUAAAACACAUUCAUUUUGUAAUGAAUAUUAUUUUAACUUUGAGUUUUUGUUGCUUAAUAUAAAUUUUAUUUGCAUAAUUGGUUUGUAUUACUAUUAAUUUAUAUUAUUUUUUCUAAAUAAUUAAAAAAAAUAAUUACACAGGGAUUUACCGACGGAAAAAAUCCGUCGGCAUUGGACAGUGUCUGCGGUAUUCCAUCCCAUCACCGACAUAUUCACCGACGAAAAUAAUCCGUCGGUAUAAAAAUACCGAUGAAUUUACAGACGGAUUUAUUCGGUCGGUAUGAAAUAUCACCGACACUUUUGCCGACUGAGGUAUUCCGUCGGUAUAUACAUAACACCGACGGAAUAUUUUCCGUCGGUAUAUUCCAAGCGGGAAACUUUUUUUUUUUUGGCGCGCACAGUCCGUCGGUAAUUUUUUUUUUUGUAUUACCGACCGAUAUAGCGACGGAAUGUGGAAUCACCGACAAAAGGUAUUCCGACGAGCGUAUUCCGUCGGUAAUAUAGUCGGUAAAUACUUUACCGACGAACGUUCUGUCACACACCGACGGAAUAUUUCCGUCGGUAAAACUGUGAAAUCUUGUAGUGAAUAGAUACUCUGAUAUUAAUUCAUGCACGAGAUAACUUGCAUCAAAUAACAUAAACCUAAUUUCAACAAAUAUACUUUUAUUUAGAAUUUUUGAACCUAGACUAAACUUCUUUUAGAUAAAAAAAAUCUAGGUCACAAGAAUUAUUGAUAUUUAAAAAAUCAAACGAGUCUUUAUCUGGUGCCUGAGCUUCAAAUUUUAUAUUUUCUUUGAUAGAUUUCUUAUUGCAAAAAUCAUCAUUAUUUCCAUUUGCCUAUCCAAUUAAUUCGUAAGGCUACUUUUGAACCAUUCCGACAAUGAGUGCAAUACCAUGUGCCUUGUCUCCUGUGCAUUUAUUGUUAUGGUCGGUUACACAAUUUCAUCAACUACAAUCUUAAUAACUUCGAAACAAGACUUUUGUUCUUUGUACUCUCUCAAAUUCAUAAUAAUCUUUGACAAUUUCAUCAAUUUAAUCUUUUGUUCUUUUGUAUUUGUAGAUCAAACAAUUUCAAAAUGGAAGUGUACAAUUUCAACUAACUGAUUUAUAGAUCUAACGAAUUCAAAAUGGAAGUGAUGGUACUCAUCUAUUCUUAUAAUAGAUGAAGAAUAAUGCAUUCCGCGUAAAAAAGUAAGGUUAAGUCCUGUGUAUAUAUAACUAUUAAAUAAUUAAAGAAAGAUCCAUAUUAAAGUUAAUACAUUUAAAAUAAGAUAAUUAACUUCAGUUUAUUUUAAAAAUAUUUAAUAUCACUAACUAAUUAAGUAAUUGAAUUUUAAUAAAGUUUUAUAUAUAAAGCAGAAAUUAUCUACUUUGUUAAUUUUAAGUACUUUAAAUUAUUCUUAUCUUUUAAAUAAAAUAAAAAUCAGUAUAAUAUUGCAAAAUAAUCCUAAAACCCAUGAUCCAAAAGUUCAACUACUAUUGCAAAAGUGAGGUUGCAACAUUUGUUUUUGCUUCCACGUAGUAUUUGCGGUACUAUAUACAAUUGAAGCAAUUUUACAAGAAAUUUGCAUAAUCUUUAAUGGAGGUUGCAUUUCUAAAUUAAUUUGGAAUGAUAGUACCGUUCCUUUGGUUUAGAUUGGCAUCAUACUAUUUAUGAAAAGCAAGCACCAAAAACAAAUCAUGCAUUUAUUUUCACAGAUGUAAUUAUUCAAAACAAAUAUUAAUAUUAUCGUAAAAAAUCUAACCUUAUUUGAAAUCUAUAACAUAACCAUCUUGGAUCAAAGACUUGGAGAUAUUGCAUGGUCAAAGUCAAUGGCAAGAAGAGUUCCCACCGAAAGAAGGGGAGGACCUCUUGAUGGCCUACACUUACAAAUUCAAGCUCGUCUCAUUGAAUACAUGGAGAAUUAUGCACCCAUGGUUUUCUGGAAAACAAUUAAAUUUAAGGAGUCUUCGCUUGAAGUUUCCAAGUCUUCUCUUACAUAAGGAUUACCACAUAUGGUCCUAUCUUAUCUUUUCUUUUCCUUAACGCGGAGUUCUGACACAACAAACUAUGGCCCCGUCGGUUGUUUUACGGAGGAAAACACCAUCUAAAAAAUCAAUUGCAAGAAGAGUUCCCACCGAAAGAAGGGGAGGACCGGAGGACAUCUUGAUGGCCUCUGAUAAGGGAAUUUUUUGCAUGUAUAUUUUUUAUUAUCCAUACUUGAUUUUGAAAUAUUUGAAUGUGUUACACAAGAUAAUUAUAAUUUUAGAUCCUUUUUUGAACUAUUGACCUCUUAAAAAAUUAAUGUGUUUUCAAAUAUUAGGUUAUAGAACAGGUAGAGCCUGACAGUAAAACUAAACAAUAAUUCAUUAUGUGCUGCAAAAGAAGCUAUACAACUUAGUUCCAGAUGUUUGUUAUUAUUUUUAAAUAGCUGAGAUAAAGGUCUAUAAAACAUAUAAAUGGCAUAUAACUCAGUUUUGUUGUUUCUAGCCUAAACAGAUAAGAAAGAAAUGAAAACAAAAAUGUAAGGAGUCUUCCCAGCUUGAAGUUUUCAGGCCAAUUAAUAGAGAAAAGGUUAAGAAAAAAAAUGUGAUAACAAUCAAGCUGUCUUCCAUGUUGAGCCCCAUCACGUAGAAAACAAUGACAAAAUUGAAAGCCCUGAUCGUUGUUUGGUUGGAGUUAUUUUUAAAAUAUUUUUAUUUAAAAAUAUAAUAAAAUAAUAUUUUUUAAUUUUUAAAAAAUUAUUUUUAAUAUUAACAUAUUAAAAUAUUUUAAAACAUAAAAAAUAUUAAUUUAAUUUAAUUAAAAAAACUAAUUUUUAAAAAAUAAAAUAAAUCAACCCAUCAGAACCACGGUAAUGGAAUAUAGAGUGAAAGAUAGCUUUUGUUUGGGUCCCAUCACGUAGGUAACAAUAAGAUAAUGGGUUUGUAAUAAAUAAAAAUCUUUAAAAACCGAGAAAGCUUUAGCUAGCCAUAGAAAAACAACUAAUAUAUUUAUUUUUUAUUCCUUAAAUAUUCUUGUUCAAAUACCAUUAUAACACUUUAAAUAGAAAAACUAAAAAGAAAAAAAAAAUCAAAUCCUAUAAUUAUUACUAGUUUCCUAAUAAACCACUUCAUAAUUAAAUAACAAUUAUAAAUCCUAGAAAAUCCUAACAAUUAAAUAAGUAAUACACUAAAAAUAAAUAAAUUAUGCCAAAAAUUGAAUCCUAUCCGUCCCACAUUAUAUUCUCCCCCUUGAAAGAAAAAAAAAACUCAUUCACAAGUUAACUUCAAGAAAUUGAACUAUUCUAUUCUUAAAAAAAUAAAAUAAAUAGAUAAUCUGCUAUUAAUUCAUGCACGAGAUGACUUAUGUCGAACGUGUGCAGCGUCGCGGCAAUCGUCUACCUUUUAAAAAAAUGGAUAUGAUGUAAGUCUAUCUAGCCAAUAUGAAGAGACAAGGAAUUCUUGUCUCUUAUCAGUAAAAUAUGGAUUGUGAGUCGCCACCUAGUAUUAUGAUCAUUAGGAACUCUAACUAGUCUCAAAAAUCGGGUACGAAGACUGGUUGCGUAAAAGGAAGGUAUUAGCACCCCAACUACGUCCUACCUAAGAUAAGCUGCAUUGUUUUGUUGUCUGAUAAAAUCUAAAGUCUUGUUGUAGUUUCUAAUUGUCGAUCUAUCUACAGUUUAAAAAAAGUCAUCCUCUAUAAGGAGAUUCAUAUCUUAUCAGGUAAAAACCUAAAUGUUCUAUGUCGUCAAAAGAAAAUACCUUUUUAAUAUCAGAAAUAUAUUUUACGUAUAAAUUCGUAAUCCUUGAUACUAAAACAACAAAAAAUAAUUUUUUUGUUUUUGAUAUUUUGGUUAAAGUUCUCUUGACUUUAAUAAACUGGUUAUUAAAGUCAAAAUGCACGUUAAAACAUUAUUUUUUUAUGUAUGAAAAACAGAAUAUGAUUUUUUAGCUUUGAGACACUUAGCCGUAUGCAAAAAAAAAAAAAAUUUAGUUGACAAAAACCAGGUAUUUUAAUACCAGAUUUAUAUUGUUACUGUGUAUUUAAUUGGAAUGAGCCAACAGGACCCAACAUAAAAAAAAUUAAAUGGGCCAGCAUCAGCCCAACAUAAAAAAUGGAUCAGCAUCGACCCCAAAGAUUAUAAUUGGCUACAACACAGUAACCAACCAAUUAUUUAUUUGCUGCAGAAGCAUGCAAAUGAAAGAAAAACAAGUAGCAGGGACAAUCCUCCUUGUAAACUAGAAAUUCUCCGGAUUACGAUUAGCAUCGAUCUUGGAUACCUACGAAAAGAAAUCAAUGAUUAAGAUUUAGGAAAUUGCAUGAAAAGUUCCCACCGAUGGAGGGGAAGACCUCUUUGUGGCCUCCGCUUCCAAAGUCAAUAGAAAACAACACAACUGCGGAUCAACCAAUUAAGUAAUUGAAUUUUAAUAAAGUUUUAUAUAUAAAGCAGAAAUUAUCUACUUAGUUAAUUUUAAAAACUUUAAAUUAUUUUUAUCUUUUAAAUAAAUAAAAAUCAGCAUAAUAUUGCAAAAUAAUCCUAAAACCCAUCCAAAAGUUCAACUACUAUUGUAAAAGUGAGGUUGCAACAUUUGUUUUUGCUUCCACGUAGUAUUUGCGGUACCAUAUACAAUUGAAGCACUUUUACAACAAAUUUGCAUAAUCUUUAAUGGAGGUUGCAAAAGUGAGGUUCCUUUGGUUUAGAUUGCAUAAAAAAAAAAAAGCAUGCAUUUAUUUUCACAGAUGUAAUUAUUCAAAACAAAUAUUAAUAUUAUCAUAAAAAAUGUAACCUUAUUUGAAAUCUAAAACAUAACCAUCUUGGAUCAAAGACUUGCAGGAGAUAUUGCAUGGUGAAAGUCAAUGGUCAAAGGCCUCUUGAUGGCCUCCACUUCCAUAGUCAAGCUCGUCUCAUUGAAUACAUGUGUAAGAAAAUCACACAUGGUUUUCUGGAAAACAACCAAAUGCAAGGAGUCUUCGCUUGAAGUUUCCAAGUCUUCUCUUACAUAAAGAUUACGACAUAUGGUCCUAUCUUUUCUUUUCUUUAACGCGGAGUUGCUGACGCAAGAAACUAUGGUCCCGUCGGUUGUUUUUCGGAGGAAAACACUAUCUAAAUUUCUCAAUGAUCGUCGAUGAAAAAUAUGUUUGAGUUACAAAAAAAAAAACUUGUUUUUGGUUUUAUAAUUUUUGGCUAAAUAUAUUUUCUAGAAGUUACAAAUAAAAACAGAAUUCGUUAAACGAAUGUCUAGAGGCUUUUUCAUCAUUUCAUCCUUUUUUUUUAAUUAUAAAGUAUAUUUAUUUAGAGGCAAUUUGGUAUGAUUGUCUUGGAAGAUUGAAGAUUUUUUAAAAUGAUAAUGUUUGUUUUUUAAAGUAUUUAUUGUUUAAAAAUAUAUUAAAAUAUUUUUUAAUAAAAAUUAAUUUUCAUAUUAUCAUAUUAAAAUAAUAAUAAAAAUUAAAAAAUUAAUUUUUUUAAAAAACACUAUUUAGAAUACAAUUUCAAAACAGAUGAAAGCAUUAGAGGAGUCAGUCUCCAAAAUUCACUUCACGUCAUUUUCAAAGGGAGAUUCCACUCUGAUUUGCAAAGCCUAAUGGAUCGCAAUCGCACCGACUUGGUUGGUCAAACAUGUAAAAUAUAAUCAACAUUGUGCUAGAGGAAGGUGUUAUAAAUUUAUUGUGUUUCUCGCAGUGUUUUUAAAAUUAACCCGGUAGUUGACCCGGUCCAAAACUAAGGUCACGGGUUUUAAUUAAAUUACUCGAAUCAACCCUAAUUUCUUUUAUAAAUCAAAAUAAUAUUAUUUUGGUAAAAAAAACAAUAGUCAAUGGGUUGCAACCAGGUUUUUAAUCGGGUUUUUCUGGAUCAACCCAUGAGGGUCAGCCAGGUUUUUAACUAUUUUUAUUUUUUAAUAAACUCAGCCUGUUUUCGGCCCUGGGUUAGCUGGGUCCUGGAUCGAUCACUUGGACCGGACCAGGUUUUAAAACUAUGAUUUGUGGUUGUGGUUAUGAAAUUGUAUUUCUGAAAAAUUUUAAAAUUUUUAUAUUUUUAAAUUAUUUAUUUUAUGCUUUUAAAAUAUUUUUUAUAUGUUAAUAUUAAAUAUAAAUUUAAAAAUAUAUAUAUAUAUAUAUAUUAUUUUAAUAUAUUUUUAAAUAAAAAAAUAUUUUAAAAAUUCUUAUGUUGUUUGAGAUCAUUAGAGAAGAUGUAUAUACAAAAAAGAGAUUGUUGCUAUCACCCUUCUACUCGACACAUGCAUGUGACUUUUGAUUUCAUUUUCUUGGAGUCAAAGUAGUAUUUCUCGACUUCCUCACCCAUCUCUAUAUCCUCUUCAAAAAAAAAAAAAAAAAGAGAAAUAAAUUAGGUUAUACUUUGCUUCAUCUCCUAAUAUUCCAGAUUGUUUUAUUGGAUACAAAUUACCUUUCAGUCAUAAUGAAGAAAAAUCAUCAAAUCGAUGUUCUCUAGAAUACAGAGCAAGAAAAUCAAAGUAAUAUCUCAGAAGCUAGCAAAACCACUAGAAGCUGCUUUCAUCCAUACAGGUCCCUUACAAACCACGUACAGGUAGCUCUUCCAAAACCAGAGUGGACUCAAGCUAUAAUUAUAGAAAUGAAGGCAUUGCAGAAAAACCAAGCAUGGAGUCUUGUUCCCCUACCCAACUCGGAUGAAAGAAAAACCAGGUGCUAGUGGGUGUUUUGUAUCAAACAUAAGGCAAAUGGGAUCACUGAAAGAUACAAAGCUAGACAUGUAGAAAACAAUAUACUAAAACAUAGCGAAGUUGAAUAAAAUUUUAUUCAUUUAAGUGUGUGUCAAUAUAAGACAUUUACUCUCUUGUGUUUGCUAAAUUUUAUUUAUUCAAAUAUUUUUUUAUUUAAUCAAACUAUAAUAGAUCAUACAUUAUUUUCUUCGUUUUUCUCCUCUGCUUCUCCCCUGUUCCUUUUUGCUUCCUCUCUCUGUUUUUUUCUUCGUUUUUCUGCUCUGUUUUUCUUCCUCUCUCUCUUCUUUCUUAUUUUUUUUUUCCUGUUCUUUCUGUUUCUCUGAUACAAAAGAAACUUAGAUCAUACAUUAUUUCUUAGAUAUAGAAAAAGAAAGGUAACAACUUCGAUAAAAUAAGUUGAUGAUACAAUAAUUACAAACAAUGAUGCAGAAGAAAUUCAAAUACUUGGAGAAAAUAUAUGACAGCUAAGUUUGAAAUAAAGAACCUUGAAAUGCUAAAAUACUUCCUAGGCAAUGAGAUGGCUAGAUUAGCCAGAGGUAUUCUCUUAUCUCAAAGAAAGUAUAUGUUCAAGAAGAACAGUUAACAGAUAUAUACUAACCAAAGCAAUUUCCAGUAAAAUCUUUUAUAGCUAUUGAAGAUAUCUAACAUAGAAAACAAACCGUAUACGAGAGAAGAGAGGGCUUAAAGUUUCCACCAUGAAAAUCUGGAUGCCUCUUGUUUGAGUUUGGAAAGAAAGGUGCUGAAUGGAUGUAAGAACGACAUGAAUGUCAAACGUCACCGCCUUUCUUACAGUCAAUUCACUACCUCUCCUCCAAAACGUAAGGUCUCCUGCUUUUUUGGGGGUUAGACACCGGAAGUAGACAACCAAUAAACAGCACGAGUUCUCUUCAUUCUGGUGAAACAGAACACAAGAAAAUAUUUAGUAAAAUUAUUUAACAGAUAUAUACUCGACAUUACCUCCUUAUCCAUUAGAUCAAAUAACUAUUUGCACUUUCAGCCCACAGAAUGCAAGAUUCGUAGAAAACAGAACUAAAUUAUAGCCAUGAUACUGACAGCUAUUUGUUUUAAAAGAAACAAAUAACAAAACCUUACCGCUAAUAAUCAGUAACAUCCCAAUCAUUACAAAUGGUGAAGCUAAACAUGCCAUGAAUACAAUCAAUAACAUGAAACAGCGUUGGAGCCUUGUUUGCAGGUGCAUUUAAUGCUUGAUUUCUCCAUCAAAUCGAACAAAACUUGCACGAAACGGAUCCCCUGCAGUUCCUCUAUAAUCCCAUGUGAACGUAUUAGGAUAAAUGACAGCAAGGCAACGCCGGCAACGGCGUGAAGAGGUCAACUCAGGCAGCCUUUUCCUGCAGAUUUGACAACUCAAGGAGGUUAUUUUGAACCAACGGUUGGGAUCUUUCCCAACCAAAUCAAGGGUUGAAAUUUUACCCCGAUGUAGAAGAGAUUACCCUCUUCCACCGCCUAUAAAUAGAAUCUAUGUUGAUGACCUGAGAGAGGAGAAAAUUGAACGCAAAGUUGGCCGAAACCAGCCUCCCCCGCCCAGUUUUCCUGCAACUAGCCCUUUCCCUUCUUUCUCUCUCCGUCGUGGCCUUCAGCCACCACCACCACCACCACUUGUCUUCUCACCAUCAUCUCCACCUCAAGCAGCCAUUAAAACAUCACAUGCUAUGGUUGCAUCAUUUCUCUCUCUCCUCUGUAAAAUUUUUCUCCUUUGCCACCAUGACCCCAGCCGCAACAACCACUUCGCCUAGAAGUUUGUUCUCUCCUUCCCAACAACAGUUAGGGUAGCAAGCCUCUUCUCAGCCGCUCCAACAGUUCCAACCGUGAGCUUCCUUUCUCCUUUGCAGGCGUCUUCUUCUUCUUCUUCUAGUUGCGCCUGCAGCCGACCACCGGCCUCACCACCUCCAGUCGCACCGUGCGCCACCAGUCAGGCUACCAGCUCCUUCAACACCAGGUGAGUCUCCCCCCUCUCUUCUUCUUCUUCUUCUUCCCUUCACUGCCAUUGCUGCAUGUGAAUAGUGCAACGUGAAUUAAUUCACAUUGCACUGUUCCAUGCAACUUAGUCACUGGGCUGCCUAGUGACUAAGUUGCCUCAGGCUGGACCUACCUUAGCCCAGCCUAGUUGGUUGGGCCGGGUCCAGCCCGUCCCUAAAAUAUAAGAAGAAAAAUAUGUUGGGCCGAGUCCGGCCCAACUAUUUUUGGCCUAUAAUCAACACACUUGUUUAUGGGCCUGUGCUGGGCCCAACCCACAUGCUUUGAUAUAUUUAAUUACUUAAUAUAUAAUUAAAAAUAAAAUAAACGAAAAUUUUCCAAAAAAAAUUUCAAAAAUCCUUUCAAAAAAAUUUGUAAUUUUCUUAAAUAUUUUUUUACCAAUUUUGUUCAAUAUUGGAUUGUAUACUUACACUGUAAGAUACAAAUCCGGUAUUAAAAUACCCAGUUUUCUCCGAAAUAUUAAAAAAAACAUUUCAAAUUUUUAUUUUAUUUUAUUGCAUACGGCCAAAUCCUAAAAUGUUUUCCAAGCAUAUUUUUCAUAAAACAAAAUGGAUAUAAGUAGUGUUGUAACCCAUUUUUGGGUCCCCACAAAAAAAUAAAGUAAAUAGCCAAAGAAGCUCAGAAAAUGGUCGGAAGAUUGGUCAAGGAAGUUAAAAAAUACAAAGAUUGGAUUUUUGACAGUAUUUUCUUGAAGGAUGAGAGCCCUGUUGAGAAGGAAAAUUUGAAUUUUGAGGAGAAAAGCCCAAAUUUGGAUGUUUAUGGAAUUAAUUGGAUUUUAUUUGAAUUUAUAGAGGAUUUGAGUGCAAGAAAAAUUAAUUUUUAAGUCAAUUUGGGCUUUAAUUAGAAGAAAUUUAAGUUCUGGGGCCAAAAUAUAUUUUUUUGGAAUUUAUUAGGUCAAAUCAGGGGCUUAAUUGCAUAAAUAUUGAAGUUUAAUAGCCAAUUAGGGGCUCAAUUGUGAAAAUCUGAAACCAGGGACCAAUUUAGAAAAUACGUGUAAGUUUUGAAUUGAUCCAGGGGCGUAAUUGAAGAAAUUGGAAGUUUAUUGAUCAAUUGAGGGCUUAAUUGCAUAAAUCAGAGGCCAAGGACCAAGGUGAAAAACGCGGCCAACUACGGGGUCGAGGACCGAAAUUAACAGGGACGCAAAUGAAAGAAACAAAAGAUAAUUAAGGGCUGAUUUGAAAAUUGGCACUUUCUGGUGCCAUUUUUAAAUGAAACGGCGCGUUUUCCCCAAACGACGCCGUUUCAUACACAAAAAAAAAAAGGACCGAAUGGUGCUGUUUUGAACGGCACUGUUCCCCUUUCUUCUUCCCCCCGAACGUGCAGCAAGCAUGGGAAGAAAACUUGUUUAAUCAUCCGGUGCCGCUCUCUCCUCGCGUGCGCUGACAAUACCACGUUGCCCUGCUCAACCCACGAUGUCCUGCUCCUCACGCUGCCCUGCUCAGCCCAUGCAGCCCCGUUCCCUUUUCCCCCCUAUAAAAGAUGGGGGGAGACCUGAAGCAAGGAGGGAGAAAGAAAACGAAAAAACCGAGACCAAGAGAAAGAGAUAAGAAAAAACCGGGGGGAAGAAAAACGAACCAGAGAAAAAGGAGACUGAAACCGAAGGGAAGUUGAACGAGAGAAGAGAGAACAGAGAGAAAGGAAGGAAAGAAUACCGGGGGGGAGUUUUUGAACAAAGAGAGAAAACGAAAUAGAGAGAGGAGGGAAGAAGUCAGGGAAGUUUGAAACAGAAGGGGGAGCACAGACACACCAGUGUUGCCAAGGAUCGUCAUUUUUUAGCUCAUCAUUCUUCACACACGUUGCAACACCAUAGAAGAAAAGGAAGAAGCCUGCACCUCGGUACAAACAGAGAAAACAACGGCAAAACACCACCCGCCACCGCCGAGAAGACCCACUAUCGCAUUGCCAUCAUCAUCACCGCCAGCUGCCACUGUCUUCCCAUCCGACAACAACACCGUGAGGAACAGAAUGAGGAAGUAGAAGCAGAGGAGAACAUAGCUGAAAAAAAAAACACAGAGAAGAAAGAAAAGCCGACCAACGUCCAAGCCACUCAUUAGGCCGCCGCCACCAGCACCUCCCCGAAGCAGCUGCAGAGAGGGAAGAACAUUGUUGACAGAGGGAGCAAAGGAAAUAAAGAGAAGAACAGCGCCAAAACAGUAAGGAAGAGGAAGAGGUGCCGCAGCAACGCCACCGCCAAACCAGCCAUUGCCACUAUCAGAACCACCGUUAGCCCUCAUUGGCUUCCUCUCCACCGCCACCAGCAUCACUGUGAGUGUUCGGCGUCGUCUUCGCUCCUUUCGGUUCCACGUCCAGGUAAGCGUUUUGCGUCUCUAUGCAGGUGAUUUCCUUUGGCAUUUUCACUGUGCAAGUGAAUUAUAAUUCACUUGAACAGUGAAAUGCAAAUGUUACUGUUCAAGUGAAUUAUAAUUCACUUGAACAGUACCAUAUGUUACUAUGUGUGUCUUCUUUUGCAUGUCACUGUGCGCGGUUUCGUUUUGCAUUUUUACUGUUCAUAGUGAAUCAUAAUUCACUUGAACAGUACCAUUUGUAUAUGGUAUUAAGGAUGCACGCGUGAGCUUCCACCCAGGACACUGGCUCGGGCCAGUGACCUGGUUAGGCCUGCUGGGUCAAGCCCAGCCAUAUGGGCUGAACGGGGCCCAACCUAAAAUUUUUUAUUUAAAAAUAAAAAUUCAGCAAAAAAAAUUAUUUUAAAAAAUAAGUGAUUUUCUGCAAUUCUGUUACUGCAUUUUGAUCAAUAUCGGUUUGUAUUUUUAUACUGUAAAGAUACAGAUCCGGUAUUAAAAUACCCGGUUUUCGUAAAAAUAUCAAAGAUUUUCAGAAUAAAAAAUGUUUUUGCUUUCAAAAAAAUCCCUAAAAAUGUUGUUGAUUUUUCUGCAUAUUUUUAUUAAAGUGGAUUAAUAUUGGGUUGUAUUUUUAUACCGUAAGGAUACAAGCUCAGUAUUUAAAUACCCGAUUUUCGUCAAAGCAUAUAAAACAAAAUAAUAAUAUUUUCAAAAAAAAAAUGUUUUGUUUUAAAAUACGGCCUAGUCUCUCCAAUAUAUAUAUAUAUAAAUAUUAUAACAUCCUAUUUUCACACAACAAAGGAAAUUUUCAAAAUUAUAUAUGUAUUAGCAUGCAUUUUGGCUUUAAUAACCAGUUUAUUCAAGCCAUUAGAACUAGGCCAAUAUUUCAAAAAUUCAAAAAAAUCUUUUUGUUUCCUUUUUAGUAUUUGGGAUUACGAAUUUAUAUGUAAAACGUAUUCCUAAAUAUUAUUAAUAAAGUUUUGUUAUAGACGUUAGAACGGUUAGGAUUUUACCCGAUAAGAUAAAAGACCUUCUUACCGAGGAGGAUUUUUCUUGAACCAUAGACAGACCAACGACUAGAAGUACAAUAACACCUUAGUUUUUUUUUAUCAGACAAUAAAACAAUGCAGCUUACCUUAGGUAGGGCGUAUUUGGGGUGCUAAUACCUUCCCUUUACGCAACCAGUCCCCGUACCCAAUCUCUAAGACCAGUUAGGGUUCCUGGUGACCAAAAUACUAGGUGGCGACUCCCAUUCCAUUUUCUACCAAUAAAAGACAAUAUUUUCUUGUAUCCCCAUAGAUAUAGAUGUUCGCUUUGUAGAUUUAAGAAAAAUGGAACAACUAUAUAAUUUUCGCCGCGACGCCGCACACGUGCGACAAGUAGUUUAUGAUUAUCCAUUAGGAUUUCGUCAACAUGUCAAAAAUCUUUUUUUCAAACUUUUUUAGGAUCCAAAUGUAGACUUUAAUAUUUGUGGGGUGUAAAAUUACACGAUAAAGUACACAAUCGGGUAUUAAAGAUACAAAGUGUAAAACUAUAGACUUUAGAACGGGUAGGAUUUAGCCGAAUAGGGUAGAGGCUCUCUCAUGAAGAGAGAUCUGCCUCUCAUGAAGAGAGAUCUGCCUUGAACCUUAGAAAAGACCAACUCGACUUAGAAAAAACAAUCAAACAACAAUGCAACUUACCUUAGGCAGGGUUACUGGGGUAAUGUGUCUUCCCUUUGCACAACCAGUCCCUUAACUAGACUCUUGUAGACCAUAGGUUCCUAGUAACCAUAAUACUAGGUGGCGACUCUUAAAAAAUUUUAAUCAUAAUUUUAUGAUUAAAUCCAAAAACCUUUCCCAACACACAAAACCUCACACAGGAGGCACAACAAAGCGCCUCCGCAAUCACUAGACGACGUCGCGUCGUCAUGCCCCCGCAACAAAUGUCGCACGUGUGCGGCGGCGCGGCGAUCGUCCACCCUCAUGGAAAAAAUCGGAAAUAUUUAUUCCUUAAAAAAAAAAUGGAGAGACAAGGAAUUCUUGUCUCUACAAGUGAAAAUAUGGACUGGGAGUCGCCACCUAGUAUUCUGGUUACUAGGAACCUUAACUGGUCGUUAGAGAUCGGGUACGGAGACUGGUUGCGUAAAGAAAAGGUAUUAGCACCCGAACUACGCCCUACCUAAGGUAAGCUGCAUUGUUUUAAUGUCUGAUAAAAUCUAAGGUCGUGUUGUGGUUUUUUUAUUGUUCGGAAUACGCAUUACAUGUAAUCUCAUACCCUAGGUUCUCUUGUUCGAAAAAAAAAAAAGAAUUAAAUAUCCGGAAUAUGCAUUACGUGUAAAGUCAUACCCCGGAUACUAAGAGACAAACAAAAUAAAUUUUUUGUUGUUUUUGAAAUAUUGGUCAAUAUUCUCUUGACUUUAAUAAACUGGUUAUUAAAGCCAAAAUGCAUGCUAAAACAUUUUGUUUUGGUGUAUGAAAAAAUACAACAUAAAUUUUUAGCUUUGAGACACUUGGCCGUAUGCACAAAAACAUUUUUUUUUAAUUGUUUUUGUAUUUUGUGGAAGUUUUUGACGAAAACCGGGUAUUUAAAAAUCAGAUUUUUGUAUUUUUAACAACAUAAAAAAAAUACCACCAAAUAUUAAUCAAAAUGACAUAACAAUUACGCGGAAAAAUUAUAAAAUGCUGAAACAAAUAUUUUUUUGAUUUUUUUCUUUGAAAUGGGCCGGAUCAGGCCCAAUUAUAUGGGUUGGGCCGAACCUGGCCCAAAGAAUGGGUUGGUUACUGUGCACAUAGUAACCGGGUUACUGUGUGUACAGUAACCAGAGAAUUAAUCUGCACAGCACAGUAACUCGCUAAUUAAUCUUUCAUCUGCAUGCAGAACAGAAAAACGACGGGAAAGGCUACCUGCGGUGGUGAUGUUGGACUCUCUUCUCUGCUUCUUCUUCUUCUGCUUUCUUCUCUCCCUCCCCCCUUCUCUUCUCUUCUCCUCCAUUUAUAGCCCGUGAGCAUGUGUUUUUUUUUUUAUUCAUCGUGGGGUCAUGCGGCGGCUGGUCGGGCGUGGCUGUCCAGGCGUGCCUCCCUCAGUUUCGGCGGUGCGGUAGGCGGUCGGCCAAUGUCUUCGGUCGGUGGGCUGGAGGGACCACCGCCAUUAAAUAUACAUCUUUUUUCCUUCUUUACUGCUGUAUGUUAGGCGGGGAAGAAAGGGGAACAGUGCCGGAAUAGUAACCGGGUUACUGUGUGUACAGUAACCAGAGAAUUAAUCUACGGGUUACUGCGACCAGUACUGCGCACAUUUUUUUUUUUUUGUAUUUAUUAUUUUUUUAUGGGGACCCAAAAAUGGGUUACAACAGUUGCCCCCCUCUUUACAAUGCUUACGAAGCAAAGAUUUGUGCAUAGUUAGUGUUAUAAAGAAAAAAAACAUUGGUCUUCCGAAACUGGUCGUCUCAAAAUUUGAUUGACCUAAAACUUCAAUCGGACCCAAAGUCCUGUGUAUGGUUGGGCUAAACUGAGAUUCCUUUCGCCAAUCCCCUUUAACCCGAAAAAAAGGAAAGAAUGUGAAGUGUGGUCUCAUUGUAAUGGGUGACCUACCCAGAUAUAAAACAUGGAGAAUUGGUUGCAUUGUAAUGGGUGACCUACCCAGAAAAAUGUUGGUGAGGGCUCAAAGGCGCACUCAAAAGGAGGUAGGGUUAGAAAACGCACUACCUAAGGGAUGAGGGCUCAAAAGCGCACUUAAAAUGGAGGUGAGGGCUCAAAGGCGCACUCAAAACGGAGGUAGGGUUAGAAAACGCACUACCCAAGGGAUGAGGGCUCAAAGGCGCACUCAAAAUGGAGGUGAGGGCUCAAAGGCGCACUCAAAAGGAGGUAGGGUUAGAAAACGCACUACCAAGGGAUGAGGGCUCAAAGGCGCACUCAAAAUGGAGGUGAGGGCUCAAAGGCGCACUCAAAAGGAGGUAGGGUUAGAAAACGCACUACCAAAGGGAUGAGGGCUCAAAGGCGCACUCAAAAUGGAGGUGAGGGCUCAAAGGCGCACUCAAAGAGGUGAGGGCUCAAAGGCGCACUCAAAAGGAGGUAGGGUUAGAAAACGCACUACCAAAGGGAUGAGGGCUCAAAGGCGCACUCAAAAUGGAGGUGAGGGCUCAAAGGCGCACUCAAAAGGAGGUAGGGUUAGAAAACGCACUACCAAGGGAUGAGGGCUCAAAGGCGCACUCAAAAGGAGUGAGGGCUCAAAGGCGCACUCAGAAGGAGGUAGGGUUAGAAAACGCACUACCUAAAAGAUGAUGUUGAAACAAUGAUUGUCAAUGUUGAAAAGCAAAUGCAUUAUGAUUGAUAUGCAUGUAUACUUACCUGAGAAAUAUAGGCCCCCAUUUCUUCAUGGUGUCUUUGUUUUCUCUCAAAAGUUGUAGUGUUGGUAGUAAACUUCGAUGGCUUUUCCACUUUUGCUUACUCGGGUUACAUUUUGAUCUUGACCUCUGGGAAGGGUUUGAUGUCAUCAUACAUCUUUGUCCUUCACCCUUUAUCUCAAGAGUUACCAAUUUUGCCCGACAUUUUCCUUAGAAAAGGAAUCAUGGAGCCAGCCCUACCAUGUGUUUUGAUUGCCCCCCAGCUUGAUCAUGCCCCCCAAGUGUUCAACUUGGGUUUAGUUUGGGGUGAGGAUAUGUGAAAGUAAGUUUGGGUUUUUUGUACAAUGAAAUGUUUUCAUGCAAAAUUUUUUUUGGAACUUCCAAGUUAUUCCAAUCACAAAAAUGAUUUUGACAUUGGUUCAAAAUAAACUUGUUCUAAAAAAUUCAAGCAAUUCCUAUGGACAGGUUUCUUGAAGUGAUGAAAGCUUUUUACUUUUGGUUUAAAGAUGAAGUGACAUUUGGUUGGUCAUAAAAGGUUUAAAUUUCAAUUUGAGGGUUAUUGAGAACCGAAAUUGAUUCAAAGCAUUUAUUUUAUUUGCAUGAAUAAUGAUUUGACUCGCACGGAAAGCACUGCAUACCGAUCCAGAUUGCUUGCCUUUGAUCAGAAAGGGCUUUAUCAGGUAUGUAAUGUAGGCUUUGGCUAUUGGUUAUGAAGAAAAUGGAUAUGUUGCAGGCUCAAAAGGUGUUUAAGGGAUUUCAAGACUAAGGAUCACUUGUGCUUGUUUCCUGACCUUUUGUCUUUUGGAUUUGUUUUUUCAAAAUAGUCUUCAUGCCCCCCAGUGUCGGGUUUGGGCUUUUCUCUUUGUUUUCUUCGUUUUUGUUUGGUUGAGCACAAUCAUAUCAGUUGUUUGUAUGAGAAGCUCAAAUCUUUUAGAUCCUUUAGAUCUUCUUCUUUUCUUUUCUUAACCAAUCACUGCUUCAUUUAGAUGAUAAUGAAAGAUUAAAAAUUACAUGAUCAAAUCCAGCACCCAUCUUCACUGCUUUGUCUGGAUGGGUAAAAACUCUAUUAUUUUGCCCCCCAGUGUGGGGUGUGAUCCUAGUCAAGGUUAUUUCCAAAAAACAUUACUAGGCUCAAAAUGGGACUGCAACGGAUAUUUUUUAGCCUUGUGAAAGGAUUAUCAAAGAUGGCCUUUCCUCAUCUCAAACUCAUGCAUUGAGGAUCGAUAGGUCUUGCUUUCAUGCGCGUAUGCCAAAUGAUUUAUUCAGUCAAAUAAAACUCAGCUUUUGAGUCACCUCAUAGUGUUGUUUAUCUUUGUUGUCUUUUUUUCUUUCAAGUUUUCUAGGUAUAUGUGUACCUAUUUAAGGAAUCACUUGAAUUUUCAAAAUGCAUUUGUUUUGGACAAAUAUCAACACGAUUUUUGUUUUUUUGUACUCACUUUGGAGGUCCCAAAAAAUAUCCUUGAAAACAUAUGAGAUUAAUGUAUGGGUUUGGAAGAAAGGAAAACCAAAUGAUUCUUCAUGUUGUAGUGUUGUGAGCAAAGUUGCGCUCAAAAUGUUAUUUACAUGUAAUAACAACAAAGAAGAGUGUGAUGUGAACACAAGAAAACACAUGAUCUUAUUUCACAAGAGAAGCUCAUUAACAGAGAAAGUCUUAUUCAAAAGCAUUAACAAAAGGCAAUAACAAGGCAGGCUUCAUUCCUCUAUUUUGGCGAAUCUGUUCAUAGGCUAAACUCCUCUCAAAAGCUCUGCGUAGAGGACUCAAAGACAAUGCGGAACAACACCACGGUCAAAAAUUCAAGCUAUCAUGCUGGACCAUUGAUGCUUUCCAAUUCCCCAAACAUUCCAUCCUAAUAUGCUUCAAGCAUGAUUAGGCAGCGGGUUCGUAUUCACAUUGGGGGUGUUUCCAAUUCUAUCCACCAGCCUUGAUUAAUUGCAGAAGCUUUCUCUUGAAGGCGUUGCAGGUAUAGAUGCUAUGCCCAGUAAUACCGGCAUGGUAUUCACAAUUGAGUUCUGGCUUGUACCAAUUAGGAUAAGGUGGCUGCAGAGGUGUUAGAGGUUCUGGAGCUAUUUGCCCGAUGCUCAAUAGCUUUUGAUACAUCUCAUUCAGGGGUAACGGUAGUGGAGGUAGUUGUUCUUGAACCCUUUGGAAAUUUCCAAUUUGGCUUUUGGCUUGAAAGUUUUGGGGUUCAGGUUUUUGAUGUUGGCAAUUUGGGAUGGAGUAUGGUAAUUUUGGGAUGUAUUUUUUUACCCAUGUAGCCAUCUUCAACAUGGUGAACCUCUUUUCUUUCGACGCCUCUUUUCUCGGUUGGUGCAGAAUUCUACCACUCUUGACACCUUGCUCUAUGCGUUCACACACUAUCACAGCAUCAGUGAAUUGUUGGGCUGAACUACCCAUCAUAUGUUCGUAAUAUGGUGCUUUGAGUGUGUUGGCAAAUAAAGAGACCAUCUCUUUGUCCAGAAGUGGGGGAUGUACUUGAGCAGCUAAUUCUCGCCAUCUUUGAGCAUAUUCCCUUAUGCUUUCUUUAUCCUUUUUCUCUAUAUUGGACAAACUGGUUCUGUCGGGCGCAAUGUCCAUGUUGUAUUGUAUUGCUUGACGAAAGCAUCCACAAGAUUUUUCCAGUUGCGAAUUUUUGUGUUAUCCAAUCUCAUGUACCAACUCAAAGUUGCCCCACUUAAACUGUCUUGGAAAAAGUGCAUUAGUAGUUUUUCAUCAUGUACUACCUCAGCCAUUUUAUUGCAGUAGGACCUGAGAUGAGUCAUGGGGCAUUGUGUUCCACUGUAUUUGAUGAAUUCAGGAACACGAAAUUUCUUUGGGAUAACCACAUUUGGGACCAAACACAUCUCUGCUGCCCGUACCGGGUCAUAUAAGUCUAUCCCUUCAAUGGCUUUGAGUCUGGCUUCCAGCGCCUCUAUCUUAGCUUGAUCAAUGCUAUCAGAUGACUUAGCCUUGUGGGACUCAUUAGCAGAUGCCUUCACACUGUUGGGGAUGGUGCAGGUGUCGUUGACUGCACAAAUGUUGGAUUUUGCUGAGGUUCUUGACCAUGUUCGCUCAUUCUUUCCUCAGGCUGAACUGUAGUAGGAGCCGGAUCAAAGGUGAUCGGUUGAUUAGAAGGACCUUCAUCAGAGGUAUUUCUUAGUGUUUGCUUGAGUAAGCUAGUGAGGUGAGCCACACUUAUUUUCAGAGACUCCAACUCUCGUGCAAAUAGGCCUCACGUUGAGCACGCUCUUCAUCUUCCAUGUUUCUUGCUCGAAGUCGGGUGUUGUAGACUUUUUGGGACCUAUAUUUCAAUCUGACAUGUAUGCAUGUUAAAUGUAUGAACAUGUAAUCUAUAUGACGAACUCGCCCUUCGAGGGGUGACAUAUGGUCGCAACUCUUGUAUGAUGAAACAAGAAUCUUGAUUCUUGCACAAACUCUACAAUGAAAAUUUUCUGAGCGACGGUCAUUGUGUCACCCAUAAGUCUGGAGUUCAAGAUGCUUCAAGAAGGGCUUGCUCGGAUGCAAAACAAUGUAUACGGAGCAUACAUCCUAAAGGCAGGUUCUAAUCUUUUUAAGUGAGACAAAAGGUAGGUUUACUAUUUGGUCUCUAAAAAAGGACUCUCGUUGUCCCAGUGAUCGCCCUCGUGGAGGCAAUAUGGGGGCUUGUAGGCAGUGAGAUGGCACGUGUCCAACUAUUACCAGUCUAAGCACUCAACGAAGAGUUGGGGUUUACACAAACUUAAACCUUGACUAAAAGUCAUAAGGUAAGCUGCUAGUUCCCCCCUAACCUGAAGCUUGUGUGUGCUUUAAAAAAAAUUAACUAUGUGAUGCAUGAGAUAAAUAUGUACAAAAAUUAAAGCGCACAACUAAAUAUGAACAAAUAUAUAAAGAAAAUGCAUAUUUAAAAAUAAACACGCAAACCACAACAAUAAAACACAAUCAUCAGACAAAAACAAAGCUUAGUCCACAAAGUCCCCAGUGGAGUCGCCAUUCUGUCGCACGUGUGCGGCGGCGCGGCGAUCGUCCACCCUCAUGGAAAAAAUCGGAAAUAUUUAUUCCUUGAAAAAAUGGAGAGACAAGGAAUUCUUGUCUCUACAAGUGAAAAUAUGGACUGGGAGUCGCCACCUAGUAUUCUGGUUACUAGGAACCUUAACUGGUCUUUAGAGAUCGGGUACGGAGACUGGUUGCGUAAAGGGAAGGUAUUAGCACCCCAACUACGCCCUACCUAAGGUAAGCUGCAUUGUUUUAAUGUCUGAUAAAAUCUAAGGUCGUGUUGUGGUUUUUUAUUGUUCGGAAUACGCAUUACAUGUAAUGUCAUACCCCAGGUUCUAUUGUCCAAAAAAAAAAAGAAUUAAAUAUCCGGAAUAUGCAUUACGUGUAAAGUCAUACCCCGGAUACUAAGAGACAAACAAAAUAAAAUUUUUGUUGUUUUUGAAAUAUUGGCCAAUAUUCUCUUGACUUUAAUAAACUGGUUAUUAAAGCCAAAAUGCAUGCUAAAACAUUUUUUUUUGGUGUAUGAAAAAAUACAACAUAAAUUUUUAGCUUUGAGACACUUGCCGUAUGCAUAAAAACAUUUUUUUUUAAUUUUUUUGUAUUUUGUGGAAGUUUUUGACGAAAACCGGGUAUUUAAAAAUCAGAUUUUUGUAUUUUUAACAACAUAAAAAAAUACCACCAAAUAUUAAUCAAAAUGACAUAAAAAUUACGCGGAAAAAUUAUAAAAUACUGAAACAAAUAUUUUUUGAUUUUUUUCUUUGAAAUGGGCCGGAUCAGGCCCAAAUAUAUGGGUUGGGCCGAACCUGGCCCAAAGAAUGGGCUGGUUACUGUGCACAUAGUAACCGGGUUACUGUGUGUACAGUAACCAGAGAAUUAAUCUGCACAGCACAGUAACUCGCUAAUUAAUCUUUCAUCUGCAUGCAGAACAGAAAAACGACGGGAAAGGCUACCUGCGGUGGUGAUGUUGGACUCUCUUCUCUGCUUCUUCUUCUUCUGCUUUCUUCUCUCCCUCCCCCCUUCUCUUCUCUUCUCCUCCAUUAAUAGCCCGUGAGCAUGUGUUUUUUUUUUUUUUUCAUUGUGGGGUCAUGCAGCGGCUGGUCGGGCGUGCCUCCCUCAGUUUCGGCGGUGCGGUAGGCGGUCGGCCAAUGUCUUCGGUCGGUGGGCUAGAGGGACCGGCGGUCGGUGGGCUGGAGGGACCAAUGCCAUUAAAUAUACAUCUUUUUUCCUUCUUUACUGCUAUAUGUUAGGCGGGGAAGAAAGGGGAACAGUGCCGUUCAAAACGGCACCGUUUAGCCCUUUUCUUUUUUUUUUUUUUUUUGCAUGGGCUGGUUACUGUGCACAUAGUAACAGGGUUACUGUGUGUACAGUAACCAAAGAAUUAAUCUACGGGUUACUGCGACCAGUACUGCGCACAUUUUUAUUUUUUUUUGUAUUUAUUAUUUUUUUAUGGGGACCCAAAAAUGGGUUACAACAACAGAUACGAUCAAUAAAGUUUAGAUAUUUAAAAGCUUAAAUACUUAAUACAUUAUCAAAAUUAAUAACCACUAAGCUAAAUUAUCUUCAUCACUUCAUCAUUAACGACCAAACUGAUAUGAAGAGUCAAUACAAUCAUUUGGUGGAUCUGAUAACUUUGCAUGAUUAGCUCUAUCAUCAUCUUUCGGCAUCUGAUGUGGGGUUAGAAAAGGCUUAGGAGGCAUUCGUAGAGAUUCAACAUCUGAUUCAAGCAUCUCUACAACUUUAUGCAUAGAGGGACGAUCAACAGGCUUUAACUGUAUGCACCAUAAUGCCACAAUAAUAUCUUUUUCAUUGUUUUCUUUUCAUGUUCCAUGGCUUCUGUACUUCUAUGUCAUUUCCUUCACUAACUUGGUCAUAAACCAUGAUGGGAAGUAAAUUUGGCUUGAAUGAUUUGUGAAUGCAUUCAAGUUCUUUCUUCUCCCUACCAUUUCCAUCAAUAACAUCCCGUAACUAUAGACAUCAGCUUUAUAAGAGACACCUCCAAUAUUCUUAUAACAUAGUUCAGGAGCCAUGUAUCCCAUUGUCCCUCUAGCAGCUGUGAGGGACACAGUGUUAUUAUUUGUUGGGUACAAUUUGGCUAGUCCAAAAUCUGAAACUUUCGGAACAAACUUAUCAUUAAGAAGAAUGUUGUGCGGCUUGAUAUCAAAAUGCAAGAUUUGCAUAUCACAACCUUGAUGUAGAUAUUCAAUGCCAUGAGCUACCCCAAGAGAAAUCUCAUAUAUUUUCUCAUUGCUUAGAGGGACGCUACCUUCCUUAGAAAAAAUAUACUUUUCAAGAGACCCAUUAGGCAUGAACUCGUAUAUAAGAGCACGCUUCGAUCCCUCGACAGUAUAGCCUAUAAGUUGCACGACAUUGACGUGGUGAAUUCUUCCAAUUGUGGCAACUUCAUUGAUAAAAUCUUGUCCAUUGGCUUUUGACUUGCCCAAUUUUAACCGCUGCAAAACGACCACUACGAAGCUUUCCCUUAUAAACUGAGCCAAAGCCUCCUUCACCCAACUUGUCUUUAAAUCCGUUGGUUUUUCUUAAUCUCUGAGUAAGUGUACCUUAUCGGCAUGAGAUCAUUAUCAUGAUUUUGCAAGAAUUUUUCAAUGUCUUCAUACAUGGAUAAAUGUCGUCUUCGCCACUUAUAAAUCAGUAAAGUCAGGAGACAUGGAAGCCCACAUGGGAACAGUAGCACAUGAUAUAUCACUGUAUAGAUAUAUUACAAAAAAAAAAAAGUCAACAUUUAAAACAUAUCAAAACAUUUUACAAAUACUUCAUUGAUUUUAGUGACGAGUAUAUGUGUGAUUAAUUCUUCAAUUUCAAAAAUUGAUUGUCAUGGCUCUCAACACUCUAAUAAAUACCUCAUGAAAUUGAAAACAAAACAGUAUUCAAGCAAGUCUAUGAUACAAACAAUAAAGGGAACUAUAAAAACUUUCAAAAUAGUUUUUAUUUAUUUAUGAUAAUUGAUAGUUAUUAAUAUCAUGCUAGCCAUUUAGAAAAUGAUCAAAAACAAUAAGUGAUAGUUUUUAACUUAAAGAAAUAGUAAAUAUUUUCAAAAUACUCAUGCUCUGUGUUUGAUUAGAACAUUUUUCUUCUAAUGCAUUAAAAUCAUUAUUUAUAAUGGAAAACAAAAGUAGAAAGAAUAUUAGAUACAUUAAUUUGAUGCAAAAUAAUAUACAUUUAACCUAAAGUUAAAACUUGAAAUAGUAGGGAGUCAUCAGAAAUAUUUAAAUUUCAAGAAAUUAUUUUCUGCAACUACAUAAAUUUAAUGAAAAUAAAUAGAAGCUACUGGAUACAACCACAAUGAAAUAAGCCAUGAACAAUAAUUAUUUCUUAAGCUAUAAUUAUUGCGUGCUGAUAUACAUGUAUUAUUGUUUCACAAUGAAAAAAGUAAAAUACUUACCGAUAAGGGCAAAUGUUACAGUGGAAAAGAUUAUGAGAAAGCUUAGUAAAUUGAAGGGGUGGCCAUCCGGUAAUAACAAUUACCUGCCAAAUAAAUAAAUAAAAAUAAAUAAAUAAAUGAUGAUUGGAGUCAUUCAAUAUUAAAAGCAUUAUAACUUAUAAAAUAAUAGAAAGAUAAGAGACAAUCUAAUUGGAACGACUAUUAUAUAUUUAUCCUACUAGAUAUUUAUUUCAUUUAGAUCUUCUAAUUAGAUUAAAUUAUUUUAAAAGGGUUGUAUUUUAUCAAAAUUUAAGAGUUUAGUGACCGCAAAAAACUUAUUGCUAUGGGUACGUGAUUGAAACUUGGAUUGAAAAAAAAACAAAAACUUUUUAGGGUCUUUUAUUUAUUUUAUUAAAAAAUAAAUAUUAGUACUCUUUCUGUAAAAUGAUAUAAUUACAUAAAAUAAAUUAGCUCACCCCCGAAAUUAAUUCGACAAAAUAUCCAGCGGAUACCUAUAUAUAAUCACCCAGAGAAUAUGAAUCAGCGUGCAAAAUCUUGAUGAUUAAUUAAAAACAAAAACCUCAUUUGCGAAAAAAAUGCGGAAAGUAAAUGUAUCGUUUUGUAGAACAUGCAUAUAAGACCGUAAUAGUCCUCACCUUCUAAAAAAAGUUCUACCAGCGACCAUACGGCUGCAUUUCAAGAAAAAAGAAAAGGUCAACACUAGUAUUGAUAUUUACAAACUUAAAAUUUUAACUGAAGUGAAGAACAUUUAUUAAAAUAUAAAAUAAACCCUUAACACAUAAACGGAAACCAAGCAAUAUUGGAGCAUAAUCAUAAUACAGUACGUACGGUGUGCUUCUGUGUAAAAGCAAUAGUUCUUCACGGUGGCUUCAUCAAGGUUGCAGCGGUUCUCUGUGCUAUAAAAACAACAGAAAGAGAACCAUGAAAGCUCGAACCCAUACACCAAAAUAUCAUGGACAUCUGUAUACGACUUAUUUCUCAUAUUUUUUGGCACAGAAUAAAUCAGAUUUAUACGGCACAAGUCAGGUACAUCCUGGACGUUCCCAUCAACCAUGACAUAGGAAUGACCUUCCAUAUCGACAAAGCUAGACGAAGAAGAAUUAUAUGCAGUACCACUGCCAUUUUUGCAAGAAGAGGCAUCCAUAAUAUAACCUGGAGGAUUCAGCAUUUGAUUCUUGCAGCAUAAAAAAGUUAACACAGAAAUGUCUGGCCAAUUUCUAUCAUAAUAAUAAUUGCCGUCCGCAGAGCGGAGCCCCCUUCUGCUGUAAGAGAAUGAUGAGGGAGGGAGAAGCAAUCAUCCUUCUGAACAGCAGCAUCCACAAGUCGAAUUGUGAAGUCACUGUAAUUGAUUGACUGGACAUAAUACUUUACCUUGUCCAAGUAUAAAGUUGCACGUACGUUGUUUUCACAAGCAAGUUCAUGACUUUUUUCGCCACAGCUCUCGGGAUCGGUAAUUAGUCGAAAAGGGUAGCUAAUAUUACGGAUAUUGCCACAAGAAGAAGGAGCGCAGUAAUUGCUGGUGUUCUUUGUAGCACUGCAACUAUGGUGGGAGGAUAGGAUCACUAGAAAAGGGAGGGCUGCAUAUGCACCGAAGAGGUGCCUUAAUUCUCUACUGAACAUUGAGAGAGAAACUUUCUUUGGGAA